UUUGACCAACUUAAGGAGAGACAUAUAUUACAAAAAAUAUAUCAUUAGAAACUUUAUAUGUUCUAUUUUUUAAUGAUAUAAUUUUAUGUUAAACAAUAUAUUUUAUAUAAAUCAAAUUGACGACCUAGGUACACGUGCAUGCCUUAUAAAUUGUGACGAUGGAAAUAGCUAUGUUACCCCGCUAUGGCCAGCCUUAACUGUUUGACGACGUAAUGACAACAACAUGACAAAUAUAAGUAGUACUCGCAUGCAUAUGCAUGGCCGGGAUCGAUCUGUCCCUUAUUCGAAGCCAGCCGCUUGAGAAGCGGAACGAAAAGCAACGACGACGAUGACAAGAAGGAGAAACAUCAACGGGUACGUGGAACAUCAAAUCAUACGAACGAAUCGAUGGCACGCAGGCAUGCACGCUCAUCACGUACGUAUACGUACGUACGUACGCCGUCCUAGUGCAGCGGCGUCCUCAGCAUGCAGUUGUUGUAGCAGACGCCGUUGCACUCGAAGGUCUCCAGGUUGCAGUCGCAGAUGCAGAGCUGGACGCAGAUGACGCACUGGGAGCAGCCGGGGACGCAGAAGCGGCAGGCCCCCUCCACGCAGACGGGGCAGUUGCCGGGGACGCAGACGGGCGCUGGCACCGCGGCCGACGCCGGGGCGGCCAUCAGCAGAUGCCCGGCGAACAGGACCAGAACGCACAUGGCGGCCAUCUUAAGCGCGGCGCUGCUGGAAGCCAUUGCUUGCUUGUUAAUCUCGGUCGAUCAAGAGCAAGCUAGCUAGCUUGUUAUUAGAUGGGUGGUGGGAGUGUGGCUGCUUGACAUGAGAAUGGAAGACGAGGCUCCUAUUUAUAGGCGGGGAUGCAAUGGCAGAGUAAGUAAUUAGGCAGUCUUUCUCCUCGUGAUCUCACGUGCAAUGGAAUCUCAUACUAACAGGUGUCCAUCUAUGCCUGACUAGUGAAGGUAGCUAAAGUUGGAUACCGAGCCAGAUGGAUACUUUUUUUCUUGAGAUUGCAAUUGUGAAUCCAAUCAUAUACUCCCUCCUUCCUAAAUAUAAGUCGAUCUGAAAAUUUCAUAAGGGACUACAUACGAAACAAAAUGAGUGAAUCUACAUUUUAAACUAUGUCUAUAUACAUUCUAGUUCUCUCUAGUGAGACCUCUAAAAAGACUUAUAUUUAAAAACGAAGGAAGUAUUUUAUACUAGCAUCAACAUCUUACGCAUUCUACCUUUAUUCAUUCGUGAUCCUAUGAGUAGAGUAAAUGUAUUGUGACAGGAGAAAAGGUUUAGAGCAUCUAUAACCAGACCUCUCAAACACCCCUCUCAUCAAACGUCUCACUGGUGUUCAUAUAAUUGCCCCCUCCCUCAUCCAGCACAAAUGUCCGGGUUGGACGGCAUCCCUAAUAUCGAAUUCAUAUGUGAGACAUUUGAUACUUGGGACAAACAUACGAGAUCCACGUGUAAACUCGGAGUCGGGUUCCUCCUCUGAUUUGAGAAGGAUGCAUUCAUUUCGGCACUCCAACGCGCCAUUCGAGGGACCAAAAUCGGCUAUGUAUCGCUCCCCCUUCUCUUCCUCUUUCACUCUAAUCUCGCAGUCCGCCAUAGUCCAACAAAUGAUAAGUUACUACAAACUGUUCACGCUCGAGUGCCGUACAAAGAUCACCGCUGAUAUGUGCGCUGUUGAGGAGGCACGACAUGCCGCCUAAAUUGCAGUGAAGGAGGAGAUGCCGGAGGAGUAGGCAGUGCCAUGGAAGGAGGAGGUGCUAGAGGACGAGGAGGAGGGCAUGGAGGAGGCACCGAACAUGGAGGUCGAGCCUGAUAGCUUUAACAUGAAGGAGACGGAGGAUUAGUUCCAACAUUCCCAAGCCGCGGGGGCAAAGGAAACCGUCCUCAACUCAAUACAAUUCAAGCGAAGGUGAUCAAACCGCCUCAGUAUCCACCUCACCAACGUAAGACGGGAGUGGCUCUUUGUGAAACUCAAGGAAGACGACGACGAAGGGAAGCCGGAGUUGCACCUUGGUGCAAAUGACAACGACGCUGGUCCGUUCAGCAUGGUGGUCAUCUACAUCUCCGACGAGGAGUACAAGUAGGGUAAUUUUCAUUCGAAUGUAGCUCAUUUUAUCUAUGUGUGAUGAUGAAUUUUACGUUACAUUAGUAUGAAAAUAAGUGUAUAUGAUUUAUGGCACGAGUCUUCGCCCACGGACAAGAGACACAUCAGAUUUAUUAACUUGUUCGCCGUGAAUACAAAAGCUAGUGAAUGUUGUACUAAUCAUAGCAGUACUCGCACGCCACAUUAUUCUUUCUCCUUUUUUUUAUAAGAUGGCAAAUUAUGUUCUUUUUUGCACAGGCACAUGGCAUUUAAAAAAAAUUUAACAUGGUAGUUUUAAUAAAUAAAAAUUAAAGUAUGUCACAUGGCAAANNNNNNNNNNNNNNNNNNNNNNNNNNNNNNNNNNNNNNNNNNNNNNNNNNNNNNNNNNNNNNNNNNNNNNNNNNNUGUACAUUUCAAUUUUAUAAUUAAUAAUAUGAUAUUUUUUAUUAAUAACAGGAUGGAAAUUUAUUAUUGAGAGGGUGCCAUCUUUUCAAUGGCAUGGCAUAUUUAUUAAUAAUAGGAUGCAUUUUUAUUAUUUGAGAGGAUGACAUUCUAAAUGUCGAGAGGAUGGCAUUUCUAUUUUUAAUGUCAUGCCAAUUUUUAUUACUAAGCACAUGGCAUUUUAUUAAUAAUAGGAUGUCAGUUUUGUUAAUAAUAGAAUGGAAAUUUAUUAACAAUGGGAUGGAAUUUUUAUUAUUGAGAGGGGGUGGCAUUUUAUCAUUGAGAGGAUGCCAUUUUUAUUCUUAAUGGGAUGACAAUUUUUAUUGGGGCUUAUCCACAUAAAACUUUUGAUACCUAGAGGGUGACAAUUUUAUAAAGUAGCGUGCGACUUUUGACAUUUUUUCAUAGCAUGACAUUCUAUAAAUUUAUGUGUUUUUUGUUCAUGGUAUUCUCUAUCUAGAGAGGUAGCAGCUUAAUUUAUGUAAAUUUUCUUUUAUUAUUUUAGUUGAGCACAACAAAUUGUCAUGUAGAAACAUCUAGGUUCAAGAUGAAAUUUGUUUACCGACGUCCGUUAAGGUGUUUCUGGGCGAGGUGGGGUCGCGCUGAGAACCCGCUACAACGAACGUAGGAGAGGACCUUUUGUUCGCUAGUUUCCCGUCUCCAUAGCAAAAGAAACGUUCGUGUGAGGCGAAUGUCUCUUUUGGAUUUUAGCCGGGGUGACCCAUCCUCAAAAGGGUAGAGGGCUAGAUCGAUGUACUAGUCCCUCUGCUAAGUCUAAAUAUAAAGCUCCACACAUGACUAAAGGUCAUAAUAAUGUUGGACAAGAAAAUAUAGUAGCUACUAACACCAGAAUUAUUGAUCCUCCCUCUACACCUAAUGAUGGUAUUUGGUCCCUGGUCUGUAAGAAUAGACGGGGCAAGCACCCUAGAAGAGAACUAAUCAAAUGAAUGCUCUAUUUUGGAAUGUUAGAGGCAUCCAAGCUGCAGGGAGAAAACCUCUUAUCAUAGACACCAUUAAUAGGACCCAUGCCACCAUACUAGGAUUUCAGGAAACUAAGAAAGAGGAGUUCUCCCCCUCUUACCUAAGGUCAUUGGUUGGAGUUAGAGAUUUUUAUUGGCACCACCUGACAUCUAAAGGCACUGUUGGAGGCAUCCUGUUGGGGUGGACCAAGAUUUUUUUGAGGUCAUUUCUUGGUCCCACCUAGAAUUAUCUGUUAGUUGUGUGUUGAGACAAAAAUGGAAUUGUAACAUAUUUAGGGUCAUUACUGUAUAUGGCUCCCCCUAUGAGGAAGGAAAGGGGAGCUUUAUUUCGUAACUUCAUUCUUUGUUUGUACACAUUGUUACACCUACUCUUAUAGGAGGGGACUUUAAUUUGGUUAGAAAUGCUAAAGAGAAGAGCAAUGGGGUUAUCAACCAUAAAUGGAGUGAUAACUUUAAUGCCUGAAUAGAGAUCUCGGGCCUCUUAGAAAUUAAACUUUCUAGUAGGAAAUUCACUUGGGCUAAUAACCAAGUUGAUCUCAUCAUGUCUACUAUUGACAGACUUUUCUAUAACACACACAUGGACAAGCUUUUCCCAGUAGCUUCUUGUAGAACUCUCCCUAAAUGUGGGUGUGACCACACCCCCUUCUAUGGGAUUCUGGACUGGAGGUCCAACCCAGGAAAGGUAGUUUUAAGAUGGAAAAAUGGUGGCUACUUAGGGAUGAUUUCUCCGAUCUAGUCCAUAAGAUGUAGUCAGAACCAAAUAAAGCCACAUCUGCCAUAAUUAACUGGGAGAUUAAGAUUAGGUGCCUUAGGAGAAUCACAAAGGGGUGGAGAUCUAAUGAGGAGGCUAACCUCAGAAGAUAUAAGAUAAUCCUCCACGAAGAGUUUGAUUCACCAGACAUUAAGUCUGAGUCCUUUGAUCUGUUUGAGGUGGAAUUUUCCAGGAUGAAAUUCAUCCAUUCUGUGUUGCAAAAAAUCUGGCUCCAGGAAGAGACAAAAGCUAAGCAAAUAUAUAGAGAUAAGGAAAUUACCGAGGGGGGUAGGAACACUUCUUACUUUCAUGCAAUGGCUAAUCACAAGGAGAAGGAAAACCCUCAUUCACUCACUAGAUGGCCCAGUGGCCAUGUGUCUGACAUUAAAGACAUGCUUAAUGGUGCUAGUUAAUUCUACAAGGAUUUGUUUAAAAAAGAAGAUAGUAGUGGCUUCAAAAUUAGUCCCAAUUUCUUCUCUCCUAAGGAGAAAGUCAUCCAAGCUGAAAAUGAGGCACUUGAAACUCCUUUUACUGAGGAUGAGCUCAAGAAAGGAGUCUUUGAGUCAUUCCGAGAUGGUGCCCCAGGGCCAUAUGGGAUUUCUUUCUUCUUCCAUCAUCAAUUUUGGGACUAGAUUAAAGUUGAGUUCUUGGUGCUGUUCAAUGAAUUACAUAAUGGUGCCCUAGACAUUCAUAGAUUAAACUUUUCUAUGCUCACUUUGAUCCCUAAAGAACCUGAUGCUACUUCCAUGAAAUAAUUUAGCCCUAUUAGCUUAAUUAAUUAUAGCUUUAAAAUCUUCUCCAAGGUCCUCACUAAUAGAGUAUCUAAGAUCCGCUGGAGAUUAAUAGCUAGUAAUCAAUCCGCCUUUCUUAAAGGUAGAUAUAUUUUAGAGAGUGUAGUCACUGCCCAUGAAGUGGUGCAUAUAGUCCACUCUCGGAAAAAACACGGGCUUGUGUUGAAGCUAGACUAUGAGAAAGCUUUUGACAAAGUUGACCUUAACUUCCUUUUAUAUCUUCUUAAAAAGAGGUUUUGGAGAAAAAUGGAUCACCUGGUACAUCAAACUACUCACAAUUGCUCCAUGGGAGUCAAGUUGAAUAAUGUAGAGAGUGAUUUUUUCCUUUCUCGCAAAGGGCUUAGGCAAGGGGAUCCUAUUUCCCCACUUAUCUUCAAGCUAGUAGUAUAUGUCUAACUAAAAUGUUGGCCAAAGUAGCAACUCAUGAGUUGAUUGUUGGGUUGUGCACUCAGGUGUGCCUAGGGGGGACCAUUUGCCUGCAAUAUGCAGAUGACACUCUCCUCUUCUUAGAUAACGACCUCUCUCAUGCCACCAAUCUUAAGACCGUUUUCACCUGUUUUGAGCAAGUUUGUGGCAUGAUAUAACUACUCUAAAAGUUAACCCAUUCCCAUUAAUAUUAUGGAAGCAAAGUUCAAUCAAUUCCUAUCUGCCUUAGAUUGUAAAGGAGAGGAAUUCCCAAUUAAAUACCUAGGGAUUCCCCUCCGCCAUGACAAGCUAAGGAGAGAGGAAAUCCAAUCUCUGAUAAAUAAGAUCAUGAAAAGGAUUGUUGGCUGGAGAGGGAAGCUCAUGUGUUAUAGAGGCAGGCUAAUCUUAAUCCAAGCAUGCCUAGCGAGUAUUCCCAUCUACCUGCUAUUCUUCUUUAAAUUUCCUAAAUAGGCCAUAGAAAUGAUUAACUCUUAGAUGGCCAACUGCAUUUGGAAUUAUUUUCAGGGUCACAUGAAGCUUCACCUAGCUAAUUGGAGACUAGUUUACAUGAAAAAGGAGUUUGGAGUUUUGGGCAUCCCCAACCUUCAAGACAUCAAUCUCUGUUUGUUGGAGUCUUGGGUGAAAAGGUACUGUGAAUGGGAAGGUAAACCCUGGAAAAUGAUCAUAGAUCAAAAGUACAUGGCUGGGAGACCGAAUAUUUUUGCCCCUAACGUCACCCCAAGACCUCUAGGUUAUGUAAAGGGAUCAAAUCCAUUAUCCAAACUCAUUAAAUUGGUUACAAAUGGAAAAUUGGGUUAGGGAGUAGUGUCAAGUUCUGGGAAGAAACCUAGUUUGGAACUUCUCCUCUUGCUGUGUAAUUCUGGCCUAUUUACUCCAUUUGUAAUGAACAAAGUGAAAGUGUUAGAGAGGUUUGGUAUGGGCAUCAGUUGAAACUUACCUUAUGAAGGAUUUGCAAUGGUAUCAGUUAGUGGAGGUGGCCAAAAGUAUGAUUUUCACACACGAUAUCGAUGUUCUAAUUUGGCAACUAGAAAACAAAGGAAAAUAUUCUACUAGCUCCCUUUAUCAUGUGAUUAAUGUUAACCCACAAGUAUAUGGGAUCAUUUGUAGCCAUUUUUGAUAAAUAAGAGUGUCGAACCCAACGAGGAGAAAAAGGUAGAACAAAUAUUCCCUCAAGUUCUAUCGACCACCAAUACAACUCUACGCACACUUGACGUUUGCUUUACCUAAAACAAGAAUAAAACUAGAAGUACUUAGUAGGCCUAAUAGAUAGGUUUGCAAGAUAAUAAAGAACAAGUAAAUAAAAGUUAGGUUUGUUUUGCAAGAAAAUAGAGAGUGUGGAAAUAAAAGUUAGGGGUUGUUUAGUCGAAAGCUUUUUGUGCAACGCAAGAAAAAGGUUGUCCAUAGGCAAUUGAAUAUAACAUGAUAGAUACUUAUCAUGUGCAAUGAGGGAGAGGCAUACGCUAACACACUUGUUGUAAUUGGAUUAUAUGCACUUAUGAUUGGUCCCCUAGCAAAAAUCCGCAACUACUAGAAAUCAUUAAGGUAAACCCAACCAUAGCAUUAAACAUCAAGUCCUCUUUACUCCCAAUACAUGCACAACUCCCUUACUCGGGUGUAAGUUUCUCUCACUCUCUCCAUCCACUAUAAGCAAAUCAUGAACAUAUUGUAAACCCUCCAGCGUAUAUCCUUCGCAUGUGCACCUCACAGAAGGCACCUUAGGAAAACACCAUAUCAAUAACAUCAUAUCACAAUAGACCCGUAGGACAAAACGGAUCUACUCAAACAUCACAGGAUAACCACAUAUCAUUGGGAAAUAUUAUGUAGUGUUGAGCACCAUGUUUAACUAGAGAGUUACAACGGGAAAAGAGGUGUUACAUCGCUGCAUAGAGGGGGAGAGAGUUGGUGUUGACGGCGACAAUAUUGCUGAUGUAGAUCGCCGUCACGCUCCUUGCCCCGACGGCACUCCGGCACCACCGGGAGAGAGGGGGAGAGAGCCCCCCUCCUUAUUCUUCUUCCUUGGCCUCCCCUAUACAUGGGAGGAGAGUUAUCCCUAUGGUCCAUGUCCUCCAUGGUGGCGGAGGGGCAGGAGACCCUACGAGAUUGGAUCUCCCUCUCUCUUAUCUUCUGUUUAGUGUUCCUCAUUUCUAGCCCUUCACCGUUUCUUAAAUUCCCGAAGAUCCGUAACUUCUAUCGGGUUGAAAUUUUUACACGACUUUUUAUCAUAAAUUAUCUUUUUAGUGGACGAAGAAGAGUGAUGACCCACAAGCAUAGGGGAUCUAUUGUAGUCCUUUCAAUAAGAAAGAUAUAGGGGAUCUAUCAUAGUCCUUUCGAUAAGUAAGAGUGUCGAACCCAACGAGGAGCAGAAGGAUCUGACAAGUGGUUUUCAGCAAGGUAAUCUCUGCAAGCACUGAAAUUAUCGGUAACAAGUAGUUGUGUGACAAGAUGAUUCGCAGCAAGUAGCAAGUAACAAAAGUAACUACAGUGCAGCAAAGUGGCCCAAUCCCUUUUGUAGCAAGGGACAAGCCUGGACAAAGUCUUAUAGGACGUAAAACGCUCUCGAGGACACAUGGGAAAUUCUGUGAGCUAGUUUUCAUCAUGUUCAUAUGAUUCACGUUCGCUACUUUGAUAGUUUGAUAUGUGGGUGGACCGGCGCUUGGGUACUUCCCUUACUUGGACAAGCAUCCCACUUAUGAUUAACCCCUCUCGCAAGCAUCCGCAACUAUAAAAUAAGAAUUAAGACAACAUCCCACUUAUGAUUAACCCCUCUCGCAAGCAUCCGCAACUACGAAAGAAGAAUUAAGACAAAGUCUAACCAUAGCAUUAAACUAGUGGAUCCAAAUCAGCACCUUACGAAGCAACGCAUAAACUAGGGUUUAAGCUUAUGUCACUCUAGCAACCCAUCAUCUACUUACUACUUCCCAAUGCCUUCCUCUAGGCCCAAAUAAUGGUGAAGUGUUAUGUAGUCGACGUUCACAUAACACCACUAGAGGGGAGACAACAUACAACACACCAAAAUAUCGAACGAAUACCAAAUUCACAUGACUAUUUAUAGCAUGACUUAUCCCAUAUCCUUAGGAACAAAAGUAACUACUCACAAAGCAUAAUCAUAUUCAUGACCAGAGACGUAAUGAGUAGCAUCAAAGAUCUGAACAUAUAAUCUUCCACCAAGUAAUCCAACUAUAAUCAACUACAAAGAGUAAUUAACACUACUAACAACCUUACAAGUACCAAUCGGAGGCGCGAGACGGAGAUUGGUUACAAGUGAUGAACUAGGGUUUGGAUAUGAGAUGGUGCUGAUGAAGAUAUUGAUGGUGAUGAGUCCCCUCCGAUGAGAGGAGUGUUGGUGAUGACGAUGGCGACGUUUCCCCCUCCGGGAGGGAAGUUUCCCCGGUAGGACGACCCUGUCGGAGCUCUAGAUUGGUUCUGCUCAAGUUCCGCCUCGUGGCGGCGGUGAAUCCUCCCGAAAGCCUCCUCUUGAUUUUUUCUGGAACGAAACCCUUCUUGUAGCAAAAGAGGGGGGCCAGAGGGCCAACUGGGUGCCCACAAGCCCCCUAGGCGCGGCUAGGGGGAGGCCGCGCCUAGCAGGCUUGUGACCUCCUGCUGGCUCCCCUCUGGUACUUCUUCGGCCCAGUAUUUUUUAUAAAUUCCAAAAUAAAUCCUCGUUGAAUUUCAUGGCAUUUGGAGUUGCGCAGAAUAGGUAUCUCAAACUUGCUCCUUUUUCAGGCCAGAAUCCCAGCUGCCGACAUUCUCCCUCUUCAUGUAAACCUUGCAAAAUAAGAGAGAAAAGGCAUAAGUAUUGUAUUGUGAAGUGUAAUAACAUCCCAUAAAGCGAUAAAUAUCAACAUGAAAGCAUGAUGCAAAAUGGACGUAUCAACUCCCCCAAGCUUAGACCUCGCUUGUCCUCAAGCGAAAGCCGAGAUCAAUAAAUAUGCCCACAUGUUUAUAGAGAGAGGUGUCGAAAAACAAUAUACGGACAUGCAGGCAUCAUGAUCAUAUUCAGAACAAUAAUAUCAUCAUAUUAUCUCUCAUGCUAAAGUGAUAAUUCCUUCACAAAGUAAAGUAAGGAUCAAGAACCUUACUGAGAAUUAACAACCAAUAGCCUUUAGUCAUUGAAGCAAUUGCAAUUUAUCAUAACAUCGGAAAGAGUCAAAUAAGAGCUUGUAAAGCAAAUCCACAUACUCAAUCAUCCUUUUGUAUUCUACAAUUGCUACAACUCACGUGGUACUCAUGAGAUCAAAGUUUCAGUCGAACACAGAGAAAGAUAGGGGCUUAUAGUUUCGCCUCCCAACUAUUUACCUCAAGGGUAAUGUCAACAAUAAUAAUUCAUGAAUACUUACUUCCAAGCUGACAUAUGAAUAUAGAUCUUUCCCNNNNNNNNNNNNNNNNNNNNNNNNNNNNNNNNUUCCCUAGCAUAUGACGUUAGCCAACAUAAAAGCGAAAUAAGGAAUUGGUGUAUAUCACCAUGACUCUUUCAAGGGCAAAAAGUAAAGGUACAAGAUAGGCCCUUCGCAGAGGGAAACAGAGGUUGUCAUGCGCUUUUGAGGUUUGGAUGUGUGACCUCUUAGUGUGAAGGAACGUCAAUUUAUAUUGCCUCCUGUGAUAAAGAACUUUAUUAUGCAGUCUGUCGCUUUUAUGUCUUCCUCAUCAUAGGUUCGUACAAAACUUAUUUUCCACACACUAAUAGAUCAUACAUAUUAGGGAGUAUUUUUUAUUGCUUGCACUGAUCACAACUUACUUGAGGGAUCUUAUUCAAUCCAUAGGUAGGUAUGGUGGACUCUCAUGGAAAAACUGGGUUGAAGGUUAAUGGAUGCACAAGUUGUAUCUCUACUUGGUGCGGGAGUUUUGGCUAAUAUGAGGUGGAAGCAAUCGUCACAUGCUCAGGGAUCUCUAGUCAUAUAACAUUGUUCGGAACCAAGCAAACACAAUUCAUUAUGUUGUCUUCCUUGUCCAACAUCUACUUCUAAGCAUGUAAUAGUUUAGUGAGUGUUCACAAUCAUAGAUGGUGUUAAAUAUGAUAUAUUUAUAUGUGAACCUCUCCUUCUUUAUCACUUCCUAUUAAUUGCAACAAUGACCAAGGUCUACGUUUGUCUACCCUCAACAAGUUUCAAUCAACAUUCUUUUUAUAUGUGAAGCCAUCACUUCCCAUAAGAUCAUUACAUGAUCUUUCAUGCUUUUGUUCUUUUCUCAUUCUCUUGAUCAUGGCAUGAAGCAAGGCCCUUAACUAAGACACUCUUUAUUAUAUGGCUCACGAGCUCAAAUACAUCGGGGGUGACACAAAGCAAAACUCAAGCCUAAAACACUAAGAACUUUAUUCUACUAGAGAAAGAUAAAACCAAAAAGGAACGAACUAAGAAAAGGUAAAGGCAAAAGAUAUGAUGGUGAUACGAUACCGGGGCAACUCCCCCAAGCUUGGCAUAAGCCAAGGGGAUUGCACAUACCCAUGCUUAGUUGUCUUCCUUUGGAGGUGAUGGUGGUGGAGCUGUUUUGUCUUUUGAUUCCAAGAGGGUCAUCAAUCUUUGAUUUAUACCUUGGAGCUCUGUGAUAUGUUUCUCCAACAAAACAAAUUCACGAGUGAGAAAAGUAUUGCGAACACGAGUUGUUUCACAAAACCUUAAGAGUUCAAUCAAGGAUGGAGACAGUAGGUGGAGGUAGGGUCGAAGGAAAUCCACUUCCUUGUUGAACACAGAUUUCCCUUCGUCCCACGCGUGAUUCUCCUCCUUAGUUUUGCCCUUGGCUUCCAUAACUUCCACUCUUUUCAGAUUAGCAACUACUUCUUCAUAGACUUGAGGGAAAUUGUUCUCCCCGAAAGAUUCCUGAGACGACAUCCUUGCUCUAAAUCCGUGGCAGAAAGUAGGCUCGAAACGAAAAUAGAGGAAAAUUGCGUGAUACGAGGGUCAGACCUCACGGGAGAAUAUACAGUGAUUUUUUUCCGACCAGAAGGAGUACUCCACAAGAAAACGGAGUCCGGGAGGUGCACGAGGUGGUCACAGGCCCCCCAGGCGCGGUGAGGGGGUGGCCCGCGCCUGGCAGGCUUGUCGCCUCCUCGUGCGCUUUCCGGACUCCUUUAAAUUUUUCUAUUUUUUCAAAAAUUCCAAAACGAAGAAAAAUUUUACUGGAAAAGUUUUGGAGUCUGUUUACUUACCGAAUCACAUACCUCUUCGUUUUUGGAGUGUGAAACAGGCUGAUAAAUAUCCCUUAUGUACUCCUCCGGACUUAUGGUAUUGAUAAUAUUGCUUUCAACAUUUAUGGGAGUACGUGAGAUAUAAUGCUUGAUUCUCUGCCCAUUUACCACUCUCGGAAAAUUACCUUCCGUGUUGUUGAUCUUGAUGGCACCAGAACGAUAUACUUCCUCAACAAUGUAAGGACCUUCCCAUUUAGAGAGAAGCUUGCCUGCAAAAAAUCUUAAACGAGAAUUAUAUAGCAAGACAUAAUCACCUACAUUGAACUCACGCUUUUGUAUCCUUUUAUCAUGCCACCUCUUAACCUUUUCUUUGAACAACUUGGCAUUUUCAUAUGCCUGAGCUCUCCAUUCAUCAAGCGAGCUAAUAUCAAACAAUCUCUUCUCACCAGCAAGUUUGAAAUCAAAGGUGAGCUCUUUGAUUGCCCAAUAAGCCUUGUGCUCUAGCUCAAGAGGUAAAUGACAUGCUUUACCGUAAACCAUUUUGUACGAAGACAUGCCCAUGGGAUUCUUAUAGGCAGUUCUAUAAGCCCACAAUGCAUCAUCGAGCUUCUUAGACCAAUUCUUUCUAGACCUAUUGACAGUCUUUUGCAGAAUUAGUUUAAUCUCUCUAUUACUUAGCUCUACUUGACUACUGGACUGAGGGUGAUAGGGAGAUGCAAUUCUAUGAUUGACAUCAUACUUAGCAAGUGUUUUACGGAAAGCACCAUGAAUGAAAUGUGAACCACCGCCGGUCAUUAGAUAUCUAGGGACUCCAAAUCUAGGGAAAAUAACUUCUUUAAGCAUCCUGAUAGAGGUGUUGUGAUGAACACUACUAGUCGGGAUAACUUCUACCCACUUAGUAACGUAAUCAACAACAACUAGGAUAUGAGUAUACCAAAUGGAUUUUGGAAACGGUCCCAUAUAAUCAAAGCCCCAAACAUCAAAUUGUUCAAUGACAAGUGAAUAAUUCAUAGGCAUUUCCUGACGUUUACUGAUAUUACCUAUUAUUUGACAUUCGUCACAACACAAGACAAACUUACGGGCAUCCUUGAAGAGAGUGGGCCUAUAGAAACCUGAUUGCAAUACCUUGUGUGCAGUUCUAUCUCCCGCAUGGUGUCCUCCGUAGGCCUCAGAGUGACACUUCUGUAGGAUCUGUCCCUGUUCAUGUUCAGGUACACAACUUCUAAUAACACCAUCUAAUCCUUCCUUAUAAAGGUGAGGAUCAUCCCAAAAGUAAUGUCUCAAUCAAAGAAGAAUUUCUUCUUUUGUUGGUAUCUGAAACUAGGUGGUAUAUAUUUGGCAACGAUAUAAUUUGCAUAAUCAGCAUGCCAGGGUGUACUACGUGAAGUAUUGAUGACAUUCAAUUGCUCAUCAGGAAAGCUAUCAUCAAUAAGUUGUGGGUCAUCAAGAACAUUCUCCAACCUAGACCAGUUAUCUGCUACGGGGUUCUCAGCUCCCUUCCCGUCGACAACUUGCAAAUCAAAUUCUUGUAGCAAGAGAACCCAUCUGAUAAGUCUAGGUUUAGCGUCUUUCUUCUCCAUGAGGUACUUAAUAGCAGCGUGAUGAGUGUGAAUAGUGACUUUGGAAUCAACUAUGUAAGAUCUGAACUUUUCACAUGCAAACACGACUGCCAAAAAUUCCUUUUCCGUAGUAGCAUAGUUUCUGUGGGCACUGUCUAGAGUUUUACUAGCAUAGUGAAUAACAUUCAACUUCUGAUCAACUCUUUGUCCUAGGACAACACCAACAGCAUAAUCACUAGCAUCACACAUGAUUUCAAAAGCUAAGUUCCAAUCAGGUGGUUGAACAAUAGGUGCAGUUAUCAAAGCCUUCUUAAGUAUUUCGAAGGCUUCCUCACAAUCAUCGUCAAAAACAAAAGGAAUAUCCUUUUGCAAGAGAUUGGUAAGAGGCCUAGAAAUCUUAGAGAAGUCUUUAAUGAACCUUCUAUAGAAACCAGCAUGACCAAGGAAGCUUCUUAUACCUUUGAUAUAUGUGGGGCAUGGCAUUUUCUCGAUCGCAUCCACCUUAGCCUUAUUGACUUCCAUACCUCUUUCAGAAAUUUUAUGUCCUAAGAUGAUGCCUUCAUUAACCAUAAAGUGGCACUUCUCCCAAUUCAAGACAAGGUUGGUGUCUUUACAUCUAUGCAAGACUCGAUCAAGGUUGCUGAGGCAAUCAUCAAAAGAAGACCCGUAAACGGAGAAGUCAUCCAUGAAAACCUCAACAAUAUUUUCACAAAAGUCAGAAAAUAUAGCCAUCAUACAUCUUUGAAAGGUAGCAGGUGCAUUACAUAAACCAAAAGGCAUACGUCUGUAAGCAAAGGUACCGAAAGGGCAGGUGAAGGUGCUUUUCUCCUGAUCAGAUUGUGCAACUGGUAUUUGGUAGAAACCAGAAUAACCAUCUAGAAAGCAGAAGUGUGUGUGUUUAGACAGUCUUUCUAGCAUUUGGUCGAUAAAAGGCAAAGGGUAAUGAUCUUUCCUAGUGGCCUUAUUCAAUUUCCUAAAAUAUUUCACCAUCCAAUAGCCAGUAAUAAUCCUCUAUGGGAUCAAUUCAUCCUUAUAAUUAGGGACAACGGUAAUACCUCCCUUCUUAGGGACGCAAUGCACCGGACUUACCCAAUCACUAUGAGCAACAGGAUAAAUAAUACCUUCUUCCAGGAGCUUUAGUAUUUCUUUCCUUACUACCUCUUUCAUCUUAGGAUUUAAUCUCGAUUGAUGAUCAACAACUGGUUUGGAAUCAGGAUCGGUUUUAAUCUUGUGCUGGCAUAAGGUGGGACUAAUGCCCUUAAGAUCAUCAAGAGUAUAUCCAAUAGGAGCACGGUGCUUCCUUAGAGUUUUUAGUAACUUCUUCUCUUCAUGCUCUGAGAGACUAGCACUAAUAAUAACAUGAUAUAUCUAUUUUUCAUCAAGAUAAGUAUACUUAAGAGUAUCAGGCAACUGUUUAAGCUCGAACACAGGAUCACCCUUUGGUGGGGGUGGAUCUCCAAGCAGUUCAACAGGAAAAUUAUUCUUAAGAAUCGGAUAUUGUUCAAAGACAACUCUAUCUAUCUCAUCCCUUUCAUCCAUAUGCAUAUCAUUUUCAUGCUCAAGCAAGUAUUGCUCUAAAGGAUCAGUAGGAGGCACAACAAUAGCAGCUAGGGCAAUAGUUUCAUCCUUACUAGGCAACUCUUUUUCAUGAGGUUGUCUACCAAACUUGGAGAAAUUGAACUCACGUGACACACCUUCAAAGCCAACAGUGACAGUUUGCUUCUGACAGUCAAUAUGAGCAUUGACAGUAUUGAGAAAAGGUUUGCCAAAUAUGAUGUGACAAAAGCUAUAUUGUGUGGUAGCAAGAACGAGGAAAUCAGCAGGAUACUUCGUUUUACCACACAAAACUUCAACAUCUCUAACAUAUCCCACAGGAGAGAUAUUAUCUCUAUUGGCAAGCUGAAUAGUGACAUCAAUAGGUUCCAUCUCAACAGGUGCAAUCUCGUCUUUAAUUUCAUCAUAUAAGGAUCGAGGUAUUGCACUAACACUAGCACCCACAUCACAUAAACCAUGAUAACAAUGAUCUCCUAUCUUAACAGAAACAACAGGCGUGCCAACAACAAGCCUAUGUUUGUCUGUAGCAUGAGGUUUAGCAAUUCUAGCAGCAUCUUCACACAAGUGAAUAUCAUGGCCAUCAACAUUGUCGGACAGGAGGUCUUUGAUAAUAGCAAUGCUAGGUUCAACUCUAAUUUGCUUAGGGGUGUAGAUGUUCUAAUGUAGCCCCUAUGUAUCACAGUUGAAGCUUUAGAAUGAUCCUUUAUCCUAACAGGGAAAGGUGGUUUCUCAAUGUAAGCACUAGGAACAAUAGGAUCAUUAUAGGCAAUGACUUUCUCUUCAACUGGAUUGGGUUUGACUACAUUGACUUCUAAGGGAGGAUGAUAUUUAAGCCACUUCUCUUUGGGGAGGUCAAUAUGAGAAGCAACUGAUUCACACAAUGAAGCUACUAUCUCAGAGUGAAGUCCAUACUUAGCGCUAAAAUCACAAAAAGUAUUUGUUUCAACAAAGGAUUUAACGCAAUCAAACUUGAAAUUCAUACUUGACUCCUUACCUUCAUCAAGCUCCCAAUCUUCAUAGUUGCGUUUAAUCCUUUCCAAUAAAUUACAUCUGAAGUCAAUAGCUCUCUUCAUAAAAGAACCGGUACAAGAAGUGUCAAGCAUGGUGCAAUCAUCAUGAGAAAGCCGAUCAUAGAAGUUGUGAAUGAUAAUUUCUCUCGAGAGCUCAUGGUUGGGGCAUGAAUAUAACAUUGAUUUAAGCCUCCCCCAAGCUUGAGCAAUGCUUUCUCUGUCACGAGGCCAAAAAAUAUAAAUAUAAUUCCGAUCACGAUGUACUAGAUGCAUAGGAUAAAACUUUUGAUGAAAUUCCAAUUUCAACCGAUUGUAGUUCCAUGAUCCAGUAUCAUCACAUAGCCUAUACGAUGUCAAUGCUCUAUCCCUCAAAGAUAAGGGAAAGACCUUCUUCUUGACGUCAUCCUCGGGCAAACCUGCAAACUUAAAUAAACCACAAACUUCAUCUACAUAGAUUAGAUGCAAGUCUUGAUGUGAUGUUCCAUCUUGUGUAAAAGGAUUAGCCAGCAGUUUCUCAAGCAUACCCGAACGAAAUUCAUAGCAAAUAUUUUCAGUAGGUGCAGCAGGUUGAGGAGAAACUCUUUGUGCUUCCGUUCGAGGUGAAGAUACCUCGAACAAGCUCCUCAAAGGAUUAGUUUCCAUAGUGACAAGUGACAAUAAAUUUCAGCACACUAUAUAAAUGUUUCCUUACCAAUUUCCACUUACCAAAGGCGCUUCACUCCUCGGCAACGGCGCCAGAAAAGAGUCUUGAUGACCCACAAGUAUAGGGGAUCUAUCAUAGUCCUUUCGAUAAGUAAGAGUGUCGAACCCAACGAGGAGCAGAAGGAUCUGACAAGUAGUUUUCAGCAAGGUAAUCUCUGCAAGCACUGAAAUUAUCGGUAACAAGUAGUUGUGUGACAAGAUGAUUCGCAGCAAGUAGCAAGUAACAAAAGUAACUACCAUGCAGAAAAGUUGCCCAAUCCCUUUUGUAGCAAGGGACAAGCCUGGACAAAGUCAUAUAGGACGUAAAACGCUCCUGAGGACACAUGGGAAAUUCUUCAAGCUAGUUUUCAUCAUGUUCAUAUGAUUCGCGUUCGCUACUUUGAUAGUUUGAUAUGUGGGUGGACCGGCGCUUGGGUACUUCCCUUACUUGGACAAGCAUCCCACUUAUGAUUAACCCCUCUCGCAAGCAUCCGCAACUACGAAAGAAGAAUUAAGACAAAGUCUAACCAUAGCAUUAAACUAGUGGAUCCAAAUCAGCCCCUUACGAAGCAACGCAUAAACUAGGGUUUAAGCUUCUGUCACUCUAGCAACCCAUCAUCUACUUACUACUUCCCAAUGCCUUCCUGUAGGCCCAAAUAAUGGUCAAGUGUUAUGUAGUCGACGUUCACAUAACACCACUAGAGGGGAGACAACAUACAACACAUCAAAAUAUCGAACGAAUACCAAAUUCACAUGACUAUUUAUAGCAUGACUUAUCCCAUGUCCUCAGGAACAAAAGUAACUACUCACAAAGCAUAAUCAUAUUCAUGACCAGAGAGGUAAUGAGUAGUGAUGACCCACAAGUAUAGGGGAUUAAUCGUAGUCCUUUGGAUAAGUAAGAGUGUCGAACCCAACGAGGAGGAGAACGCUCUGAUAAACGGUUUUCAGCAAGGUAAUAACUGCAAGCACUGAAAGUAGCGGUAACAAGUGAUGGUGUAGUGAGGUGAAACGUAGCAAGCGAAAAGUAACAAGUAACAAGUAGUAGCAACGGUGCAGCAAGUGUCCCAAUCCCUUUUGUGGGACAAGCCUGGACAAAGUCUUAUAAGAGAAAAAACGCUCCCGAGGACACACGGGAAUUUCUGUCAUGCUAGUUUCAUCAUGUUCAUAUGAUUCGCGUUCGUUACUUUGAUAGUUUGAUAUGUGGUUGGACCGGCGCUUGGGUACUGCCCUUAAUUGGACAAGCAUCCCACUUAUGAGUAACCCCUCUCGCAGGCAUCCGCAACUACAAAAGAAGAAUUAAGACAACGUCUAACCGUAGCAUUAAACUAGUGGAUCCAAAUCAGCCCCUUACGAAGCAAUGCAUAGACUGCGGUUUAAGCUUCUGUCACUCCAGCAACCCAUCAUCUACUUACUACUCCCCAAUGCCUUCCUCUAGGCCCAAAUAUGGUGAAGUGUUAUGUAGUCGACGUUCACAUACCACCACUAGAGGAAAAACAACAUACAACAUAUCAAAAUACCGAACGAAUACCAAACUCACAUGACUAUUAUUAGCAUGACUUAUCCCAUGUCCUCAGGAACAAAAGUAACUACUCACAAAGCAUAAUCAUAAUCAUGAUCAGAGGUCUAAUGAAUAGCAUCAAGGAUCUGAACAUAAGCUCUUCCACAAAGUAAUCCAACUAGCAUCAACUACAAAGAGUAAUCAACACUACUAGCAACCUUACAAGUACCAAUCGGAGUCGCGAGACGGAGAUUGGUUACAAGAGAUGAAGUAGGGAUUGUAGAUGAGAUGGUGCUGAUGAAGAUGUUGAUGGAGAUGCCUCCCCUCCGAUGAGAGGAGUGUUGGUGAUGACGAUGGCGACGAUUUCCCCCUCCGGGAGGGAAAUUUCCCCGGCAGGAUCGUCCUGCCGGAGCUCUAGAUUGGAUCUCCUCAAGUUCCGCCUCGUGGCGGCGGCGAAACCACGAAAAAGCUCCCUAUUGAUUUUUUCUGGAACGAAACCCUUCAUAUAGAAUCCAUGAAAAAGCUCCCGAUUGAUUUUUUCUGGUACGAAACCCUUCAUAUAGCAAAAGAGGGGGCCAGUGGGCCGCCAGGGUGCCCACAAGCCCUGUUGUCGCGGCCAAGGGGUAGGCCGCGACAACCAGGCUUGUGGGCCCCUGGUUGCUCCCCUCUGACUCUUCUUUCGCCCAGUAUUUUUUAUAAAAUCCAAAAAAAAUCCACGUUGAUUUUCAGGGCAUUUGGAGUUGCGCAGAAUAGAGCACUCAGACUUGCUCCUUUUCCAGUCCAGAAUUCCAGGUGCCGGUAUUCUCCCUCUUCAAAUAAACCUUGCAAAAUAAGAGAGAAAAGGCAUAAGUAAGGUUCCACAAAGUAUAAUAAUAGUCCAUAAAGUAAUAAAUAUCAACAUGAAAGCAUGAUGCAAAAUGGACGUAUCAACUUCCCCAAGCUUAGACCUCGCUUGUCCUCAAGCGAAAACCAAGACACAAAACAUGUCCACAUGUUUAGGGAUGAAGGUGUCGAUAAAACAUAAUACAUACAUGAGGGCAUCAUGAUCACACAUAGAACAUCAAUACAUCAUAGAGAUUCUUAUGGGGGAGUAAUAAUUCCUUCACAAAGCAAAGUAUGAAACAAAAACCUUACCAAGAAGUAGCCAACAACAGUCCAUGGUCAUUGAAGCAAUUGCAUUUUAUCAUAUUAUCAGAAAGAGUCCAAUAAUAGCUUGUAUGGCAAAUCCACAUACUCAAUCAUCUCUUUUGUUUUCCACAAUUAUUACUACUCACGUGGUACUCAUGUAUCGAAGUUUCAGUUGGACACAGAGAAAGAUAGGGGCUUAUAAUUUUUCCUCCCAACCAUUUACCUCAAGGGUAAAGUCAACAAUAAUAAAGCAUAAGUACUCAUCUCCAAGUUGAUAUAUGAAUAUAGAUCUUUCCCAAGCAUAUGACGGUAGCCGAGAUAAAGGAGAAAUAAGGAAUUGGUGAAGAUCAUCAUGACUCUUUCAAGGGCAAAAAGUAAAGGUACAAGAUAGGCCCUUCGCAGAGGGAAGCAGAGGUUGCCAUGCGCUUUUGAGGUUUGGAUGCGUGUCCUCUUAGUGCGGAGGAACGUCACUUUAUAUUGCCUCCUGUUACAAAGAACUUUAUUAUGCAGUCUGUGGCUUUUAUGUCUUCCUCAUCACAUGUUCGUACAAAGCUUAUUUUCCACACACUAACAGAUCAUACAUAUUAGAGAGCAAUUUUUAUUGCUUGCACCGAUGACAACUUACUUGAGGGAUCUUAUUCAAUCCAUAGGUAGGUAUGGUGGACACUCAUGGCAAAACUGGGUUGAAGGUUUAUGGAUGCACAAGUUGUAUCUCUACUUGGUGCAGGAGUUUUGGCUAAUAUGAGGUGGAAGCAAUCGUCACAUGCUAAGGGAUCUCUAAUCAUAUAAAAUUGUUUGGAACAAAGCAAACACAAUUCAUUAUGUUGUCUUCCUUGUCCAACAUCUACUUCUAGGCAUGUAAUAGUUGGUGAGUGCUCACAAUUAUAGAAAGUGUCUAAGAUGAUAUAUUUAUAUGUGAACCUCUCUUUCCUUAUUACUUCUUAUUAAUUGCAACAAUGACUGAGGUCUAUGUUGGUCUAUUCUCAACAAGUUUCAAUCAUCAUACUUGUUAUAUGUGAAGUUAUCACUUUCCAUAAGAUCAUCUCAUGACCUUUCAUGCUAUCGUUCUCUUCAUACUUUUGAUCACGACACAAAACAAAGCCCUUGACUAAGAUACUCUUUAUUAUAUAGCUCGCAAGCUCAAAUAUAUCGAGGGAGACACAAAGCAAAAGACUCAAACUAAAACACUAAAGACUUAUUCCAAUAAGAGAAGAAAUAAAAACUGAAAAGGAAAGAACUAAAACAAAGGUAAAAGCAAAAGAUAUAAAGGCGAUACGAUACCAGGGCAACUCCCCCAAGCUUGGCAAAAGCCAAGGGGAUUUCCCAUACCAAUGCUUAGUUAUCUUCCUUUGGUGGUGAGGGCGGUGGUGUUGUUGAAGUAGUCUGAUCCUCCGUCUUCCAAGGCAUAGGUGCUCCAUCAUGGCAGGAUGAACGAGUCGCCGGAAUCCUCAAAUCUGCAGCCAAACGUAUUGAUUUAAAUCUAUACGCAUACUCACAGUUUUGGUUCUGCAGGUCAUAGAUCUGGCCGUGGAGUUGAUACAAACUGUCAUAGAGCCUGGAGAGGUGCUUCCCAAUAUCAACGGCAUCCAUCUUGUGAUUGCUGGUGAACUCCGUGAUCAUCAUGUGGUUGGCGUUGAGUCCACGCUCCACCAUCCCUUGGCACUUGAAGACUUGUUGCUCCAUUGCUUCGAGCCUCGUCUCCACGCUUCCGGUCUUCUUAGGCCCCUCAACAUCACGGAUGUGCAACAUCCCCUCGCUCAUCUUGAUAGAUUGGGGGUGCUGCAACACUUCCGUUAGGUAAGGAUUGAUGACCUUCUCGAAGAUCUUGUCCUUACGAACUUUUGGGGAAGUCAUGACGAUCUAGAUCUGCAGCAGAAACAAGCUCGAAAUGAAAACAGAGGAAAACUACGCGAUACGGAGAUCAAAACCCUCGAGCGUAUAUAUAAUGAUUUUUUCUAGACCAGAAGGAGUGCUCCGCAAGAAAACGGAGUCCGGGAGGCACACGAGCUGCCCACAAGCCCUGUUGCCGCGGCCAGGGGGGUAGGCCACGACAACCAAGCUUGUGGCCGCCUCGUGCACUCUCCGGACUGCUUUUUUAUUUUCCUAAUUUUCCAUAAAUUCCAAAACGGAGAAAAUUUCCUAUUGGAAAAGUUUCGGAGUCCAAUUACUUACCGAAACAGAUACCUCUUGGUUUUGAGGGUCUGAAACAUGCUGAUAAACAUCCCUUAUGUACUCCUGUGGAGUUAUAAUAUUAAUGAUAUUGGUCUCAACAUUUAUGGGAGUACCAGAGAUAUAAUUCUCGAUUCUUUGCCCGUUUACCACUCUAGGAAAAUUACCUUCCGUGUUAUUGAUUUUGAUGGCACCGGAACGAUAUACUUCCUCGACAACGUAGGGACCUUCCAAUUUAGAGAGGAGCUUGCCUGUGAAGAACCUUAAACGAGAAUUGUAUAGUAGGACAUAGUCACCUACAUUGAACUCUCGUUUUUGUAUUCUUUUGUCGUGCCAUCUCUUAACCUUUUCCUUGAACAACUUGGCAUUCUCAUAUGCCUGGGCCCUCCAUUCAUCAAAUGAGCUGAUAUCAAACAACCGCUUCUCACCAGCAAGUUUGAAAUCGAAGUUGAGCUCUUUGAUUGCCCAAUAAGCUUUGUGUUCUAGCUCAAGAGGUAAAUGACAGGCCUUACCGUAAACCAUUUUAUACGGUGACAUGCCCAUGGGAUUCUUAUAGGCAGUCCUAUAAGCCUAUAGUGCAUCGUCAAGUUUGCUAGACCAAUUCUUUCGAGAUCUAUUGACGGUCUUUUGUAAGAUCAAUUUGAUCUCCCUAUUACUCAACUCCACUUGACCACUAGACUGAGGAUGAUAAGGAGAUGCAACUCUGUGGUUGACAUCAUACUUAGCGAGCAUCUUGCGUAAAACACCAUGAAUGAAGUGUGAACCGCCAUCAGUCAUCAGAUAUCUAGGGACUCCAAAUCUUGGGAAAAUGACUUCUUUAAGCAUCUUAAUAGAGGUGUGGUGAUCAGCAUUCUUAGUGGGGAUAGCCUCUACCCACUUAGUGACAUAAUCCACACCAACUAAGAUGUGAGUGUACCCAUUGGAACUCGGGAAAGGUCCCAUAUUAUCAAAGCCCCAGACAUCAAAUGGUUCAAUGACUAGUGAAUAGUUCAUAGGAAUUUCCUGACGUUUGCUAAUGUUCCCUAUUCUUUGACAUUCGUCAGACGACAAGACAAACUUACGGGCAUCCUUGAAGAGAGUGGGCCAAUAGAAACCUGAUUGCAAUACCUUAUGAGCGGUUCUGUCUCCACCAUGGUGCCUUCGUAGGCCUUGGAAUGACACUUCUGCAGGAUCUGUCCCUGUUCAUGUUCAGGAACACAACGUCUAAUAACACCAUCUACUCCUUCCUUAUAAAGGUGAGGAUCAUCCCAAAAGUAGUGUCUCAAAUCAAAGAAGAAUUUAUUCCUUUGCUGGUAGGUGAAACUGGGUGGUAUAUAUUUGGCUACGAUAUAGUUUGCAUAAUCAGCAUACCACGGUGCACUAUGUGAAGUGCGGAUGACAUUCAAUUGCUCAUCAGGAAAGCUAUCAUCAAUAGGUAGUGGGUCAUCAAGGACAUUCUCUAGCCUAGACAAGUUAUCUGCUACAGAGUUAUCAGCACCCUUUCGGUCAACAACGUGCAAAUCAAAUUCCUGUAGCAGGAGAACCCAUCUGAUUAACCUAGGCUCAGCGUCCUUCUUCUCCAUGAGGUACUUAAUAGCAGCAUGAUCAGAGUGAAUAGUGACUUUGGAGUCAACUAUAUAAGAUCUGAACUUUUCACAUGCAAACACGACUGCUAAAAACUCCUUCUCCGUAGUGGCAUAGUUUCUUUGGGCACUGUCUAGAGUUUUACUAGCGUAGUGAAUGACAUUCAACUUCUUCUCAACUCUUUGUCCUAGAACAGCACCAACAACAUAAUCACUAGCAUCGCACAUGAUUUCAAAGGGCAAGUUCCAAUCAGGUGGUUGAACAAUAGGUGUGGUUAUCAAGGCCUUCUUAAGUAUUUCGAAAGCUUCCUCACAAUCCUCAUCAAAAACAAAAGGAACAUCCUUCUGCAAGACGUUGGUAAGAGGCCUAGAAAUCUUAGAGAAGUCUUUAAUGAAUCUUCUAUAGAAACCAGCAUGACCUAGGAAACUUCGUAUACCUCUGAUAUCUGUGGGGCAAGGCAUUUUAUCAAUUGCAUCAACCUUAGCCUUAUCAACUUCAAUGCCUUUCUCAGAGAUUUUGUGUACUAAGACGAUGCCUUCAUUAACCAUGAAGUGGCACUUCUCCCAGUUCAAGACGAGGUUGGUAUCUUUGCAUCUCUGUAAGACUCGGUCAAGGUUGCUGAGGCAAUCGUCAAACAAAGAACCGUAAGCGGAGAAAUCAUCCAUGAAAACCUCAACAAUCUUUUCACAAAAGUCAGAGAAUAUAGCCAUCAUACAUCUUUGAAAGGUGGCAGGUGCAUUGCACAAGCCAAAAGGCAAACGUCUAUAAGCAAAGGUACCGAAGGGGCAGGUGAAAGUGGUUUUCUCCUGAUCAAAUUGUGCAACAGGUAUUUGCGAGAAACCUGAAUAACCGUCUAGAAAGCAGAAGUGUGUGUGUUUAGAUAGCCUUUCUAGCAUCUGGUCGAUAAACGGCAAAUGAUAAUGGUCUUUCCUGGUUGCCUUGUUCAGUUUCCGGAAAGCUAUCACCAUCCUAUGGCCCGUAAUAAUCCUCUGCGGGAUUAGUUCAUCCUUAUCAUUAGGAACGGCGGUGAUACCUCCCUUCUUAGGUACGCAAUCUACUGGACUUACCCAAUCACUAUGAGCAACAGGAUAGAUGAUUCCUGCUUCCAGAAGCUUUAAUAUUUCUUUUCUCACGACCUCUUUCAUCCUCGGAUUUAAGCUCCGUUGAUGAUCAGCAACUGGCUUAGAAUCAGGAUCAGAUUUAAUCUUGUGCUGACAUAGUGUGGUACUAAUACCCUUAAGAUCAUCAAGAGUAUAUCAAAUAGCAGCACGGUGCUUCCUCAAGGUCUUUAAUAACUUCUUCUCUUUGUGAUCCGAGAGGUGAGCACUAAUAAUAACAGGAUAUAUCUCCUUCUCAUCAAGAUAGGCAUACUUAAGAGUAUCUGGUAACUGUUUUAGAUCGAACACAUGAUCACCCUUUGGUGGGGGAGGAUCCCCAAGCAAUUCAACAGGAAGAUUAUUCUUGAGAAUAGGAUAUUGCUCUCAAACAAUUUUAUCUAUCUCAUCUCUUUCCUCCAUAUGCAUAUCAUUUUCAUGCUCAAGCAGAUAUUGCUCUAAAGGAUCCGUAGGAGGUACGACAAUAGAGGCAAGAGCAAUGAUUUCAUCCCUACCAGACGACUCUUUUUCAUGGGGUUGUCUUCCAAACUUGGAGAAGUUAAAUUCAUGAGACACACCCUCGAAACUAACAGUGACAGUCUGUUUAGUGCAAUCAAUGUGAACAUUGACAGUGUUGAGAAAGGGUCUACCAAAUAUGAUGGGACAAAAGCUAUCUUGUGAAGUGGCAAGGACGAGGAAAUCAGUAGGAUACUUCGUCUUACCACACAUGACUUCUACGUCUCUCACAAUUCCCAGAGGGCAGAUAGUGUCUCUAUUAGCUAGUGUAAUAGUGACAUCAAUGGGUUCUAACUCAGUAGGUGCAAUCUCAUCUUUGAUUUCAUCAUAUAGGGAACGGGGUAUUGCACUAACACUAGCUCCCAUAUCACAUAAACCAUGGUAACAGUGAUCUCCUAUCUUGACAGAAACAACGGGCAGGCCAACUACAGGUCCGUAUUUGUAUUUCGCGUGAGGCUUAGCUAUUCUAGCAGAGCCCUCACAGAAUUUGAUAACAUGCCCAUCUAUGUCUUCGGCUAAGAGAUCUUUGAUAAUAUCAACACUAGGUUCAACUCUAAUCUCCUCAGGGGGUGCAAGUGGUCAAAUGUAACCCCUACGUAUCACAGUUGGAGCUUUAGAAUAAUCCUUUUUCCUAGCAGGGUAAGGUGGUUUCUCAGGGUAGGCACAAGGAAUAACAGGAUCACUAAAAGCAAUGACUUUCUCCUCAACUAGAUUGGUUUUGGCUAUGUUGCUUUCUACAGGAGGAUGAUACUUAAACCACUUCUCUUUGGGAAGAUCAACAUGAGCAGCAAAAGAUUCACAUAGAGAAGUUACUAUCUCAGAGUCAAUUCCAUACUUAGCGCUAAAAUCUGUAGAAGUGUUUGUCGCAACAAAGGUUUAACGCAAUCAAACUGGAAAUUCAUACCUCACUCCUUACCUUCUUCCAGCUCCCAAUCUUCAGAGUUAUGUUUCAUUCUUUCCAAUAAAUUCCACUUAUGGUCAAUAUCCUUCUUCAUAAAAGAACUGGUACAAGAAGUGUCAAGCAUGGUACGAUCUUCAUGGGAAAGUGCUACUGCAACAAAAGACCUUCCAAUGGCGCCAGAAAUAGGAGUGUUGCUUGAUACUCCUCAGCAACGGCACCAGGAAUCCUUCAGCUGUGGCUACGCCUUAAGGGACUUCCUAGGCAAGUAUGCAAAGGAUUUCCCCCGUGGCCUUGGAGCCUUGCUUUGGUGUUCCCUCAAAGCGGAAAGGGUGAUGUAGCGUAGCGGUGGUAAGUAUUUCCCUCAGUUUGAGAACCAAGGUAUCAAUCCGGCGGAAGAGUAUCUCAAGAUCCUGCACAAACACAAAAGCUUGCACCCAACGCUAUGAAGGGGUUGUCAAUCCCUUAUAGAUUGUUUGCCAAGUGAGAACUAAAAGCAACAAAGUAACAAAGCAACGUAAAAGCGGAGGUGUAAACGAUAGAUGUGAAUAGAGCCGGGGGCCGUAGUGUUUACUAGUGGCUUCUCUCAUGCAACAAAGUAACAAAGCAAAGUAAAAGCGGAGGUGUAAACGAUGGAUGUGAAUAGACCCGGGGGUCGUAGUGUUUACUAGUGGCUUCUCUCAUGAAAGCAAGUAGACGGAGGGUGAACAAAUUACUGUCAAGCAAUUGAUAGAACUGUGCAGAGUCGUGCCGAUAUCUAUGGAAUGGUUAUUUCUAUAAGCAUCACAUCCGAAACAAGUAGAGCGAUACUGUCUGCAUCUACUACUAUUACUCCACACGCCGACCGCUAUCCAGCAUGCAUCUAGUGUAUUAAGUCCAUAAGAACAGAGUAACGCCUUAAGCAAGAUGACAUGAUGUAGAGGGAUAAUCUCAAACUAAUGAUAAAAACCCAUCUUUUUACCCUUGAUGGCAACUGCUUGAUGUGUGCCUUCCUGCCCCUACUGUCACUAGGAAAGGUCACCACAUGGCAGAACCCAAAACCAAGCACUUCUCCCAUUGCAAUAAUCAUAGAUCUAGUUGGCCAAACAAAACCCAAGACUCGGAGAGACUUACAAGGAUAUCAAAUCAUGGAUAUAAGAAAUCAACAAAGACUCAAAUAUAUAUCAUAGAUAAUCUGAUCACAAGUCCACAAUUCAUCGGAUCUCGACAAACACACCGCCAAAGAAGAUUACAUCGGAUAGAUCUCCAUGAAGAUCAUGGAGAACUUUGUAUUGAAGAUCCAAGAGAGAGAAGAAGCCAUCUAGCUACUAACUACGAACCCGUAGGUCUGAAGUGAACUGCUCCCGAGUCAUUGGAGGGGCGAUGAUGAUGAUGAAGAAGCCCUCCACCUCCAAAGUCCCCUCCGGCAGGGCGCCGGGAAGGGUCUCUAGAUGAGAUCUCGCGGAAACGGAAGCUUGCGGUGGCGAAAAAGUAUUUUCGAGGCUCCCGUGAUUUUUUGCAGAAUAUUUGGGAAUAUAUAGGCGCAAAACCUAGGUCAGGAGGCAGCCAGGGAAGCCACAAGCUUGCCCACCGCCGCCUCCCCUGGUGGCGUGGUGCAAGCUUGUAGGCUCCCUGGGGCCCACCUGGCUUGGCCCAAAGGCUCCCUGGUCUUCUUUCGUUCGGGAAAAAUCAUUUCGGGGAUUUUAUUCUGUUUGGACUCCGUUCCAAAAUCAGAUCUAAAAAGAGUCAAAAACACGGAAAAACAGGAAUUGGCACUUGGCACUGAAUCAAUAAGUUAUUCCCCAAAAAUAUAUAAAAAGGUACAUAAAACAUACAAAGAAGACAAGAUAACAGCGUGAAACCAUAAAAAAAUAUAGAUACAUUUGAGACGUAUCAAGCAUCCCCAAGCUUAACUCCUGCUCGUCCUCGAGUAGGGAAGUGAUAAGAAUGAAUUUUUGAUGCUUUCAUGCUACCUAGCAUAGGUGUUCUUUGUAAUUACUCUUAUGUGACGUGAAUGUUCAGAUCCAUUAGAUUCAAAAUAAUAGUUUGCUAUUGACGUGGAAACAAUAAUAAUUCAAGAAAACUAGCAAAGUAAUCAUGAACUUUCAAAAUAACAAGGCCAAAAGAAAGUUAUCCCUACAAAAGCAUAUAGUCUGGCUAUGCUCUAUCAUCAUUGCACAACGAAUUUAAAUCAUGCACAACCCCGGUAUUGGCCAAGUAAUUGUUUCACACCUUUACUUUCUCAAACAUUUUCAACUCUCACGCAAUACAAGAGCGUGAGCCACGGUUAUAGCACUAUAGAUGGUGUGGAAUGUGGUGGAGUUUGCAAGACAAAAAGGAGAAGAUAGUCACAUUAACUAGGCAUAUCAAUGAGCUGUGGAGAUACUCAUCCAUAGAUAUCAAUGUGAAUGAGUAGGGAUUGCCAUACAAAUGAUGCACUAGAGCUAUAAGUAUGUGAAAGCUCUUAAAGAAAACUAGUGGGUGUGCAUCCAACUUGCUUGCUCACGAAGACCUAAGGCAAUUUUGAGGAAGCCUAUCAUUGGAAUAUACAAGAGAAGUUAUAUAAUGAAAUUUUACCACUAGCUAUAUGAUGGUGACAAAACGAGAGACUCUCAAUCAUGAAGAUCAUGGUGCUCAAAAUGCACAAGUGUGGAAAAAAUGGUAGCAUUGUCCCUUCUCUCUUUUUCUCUCAUAUAUUUUUUUGGUGGGCUCUUUGGCCUCUUUUUUUAUGGGCUUCUUUGCCUCUUUUAUUUCCUCACAUGGGACAAUGCUCCAAUAAUGAUCAUCAUCACACUUUCAACUCAAAACUUAGAGCAAUUAUGACUCUGUAUGGAAUGCCUUCGGUAGUGUACCGUGGCAAUGAUUUAGCAUGGCAUAGACAUGAAUGGAAACAUCAUGCUAGCUAUCUUACGAUCGUGCAAAGGCAAUGUAGACGUGGUGGCACAUAUGAUGGUGGUAGUUGCAUGGCAAUAUAUCUCGGAAUGGUGGCACAUAUCAUGGUGGUAGUUGCAUGGCAAUAUAUCUCGGAAUGACUUUUAAAAAUCCAUAGUAGGUAGGUAUGGUGGCUUUUUUGAGGAAGGCUAAUGGUGGGUUUUGUGCACCGGUGAAAGUUGCACGACACUAAGAAGAUAGUGAUGGUGGAAGGUGAAAGUGCAUCUAAACCAUGGACUCAACAUUAGUCAUGAAGAACUCAUAUACUUGUUGCAAAAGUUUUAUUAGUAAUCGAAACAAAGCAUUCAACGCAUACUCCUAGGGGAAGGGUUGGUAGGUAUAAACCAUCGCGCGAUCCCGACCGCCACGCAAAGGAUGACAAUCAAUAUACUAAUCAUGCUCAGAUUUCAUCCCAUAGCGGUUCACCAUACGUGCAUGCUACGGGAAUCACUAACUUCAACACAAGUAUUUAUAGAUUCACAACACCUCACUAGCAUGAUUUGAAUAUUACCAUAACCACAACUCAAAACUAAUUGAGAUGAAUCAAACUUCUCUAACUAUUCAAUGCACAUGAAGGAGGAAGUUUUCGUAUCCCUUUGGAUAACUACCCCUUUUUAUACUACUUCCAAAGCAUAGAUCAACUACCAAGUCACGCACCGCUGCGCUCUAAAAUAUAUAAGUGAAGCACAUAGAGCAAAAGUAUCUAGCUCAAAAGAUAUAAGUGAAGCACAUGUGAGCUGAAUUGUCUACCAAAAGAUAUAAGUGAAGCUCGACAAAAUAAUGGUGUGUGCAUGUCUCUCUCUCUAGGUGUGCAGCAAGGAUGAUUGUAACACAACAAAAAUAAAAGACUCCUACGAUACAAGACGCUCCAAGCAAAAACACAUAACAUGUGGUGAAUAAAAAUAUAGCCCCAAGUAACGUUACCGAUGGAUUGAAGACGAGAGAUGGGAUGCCUUCCCAGGGCAUCGCCAAGCUUAGGCUUUUACGGCAUCCUCAAAUCUCUUGGGGUGCCUUGGGCAUCCACAAUCUUGAGCUCUUGCCACUCUUUAUCUUUUUGUCCUGAAGGACUUCACCUAAAACUUGAAAAGUUCACAACACGAAACUUACACAGAAACUCGUGAUAACAGUAGUACAAGAAAGCAAACCACCACUUCCGUAGGUACUGUAGCAAACUUAAAUUCUACUUGUGCUCAUGUUGGGUUACUGUACUUUCAGUCUUCCAUGGCUAAUACCCCCCGAUACUAUCCAUAGUUUCAUCAAAAUAAGCAACCAACACAACAAAAACAGAAUCUGUUAACAGCAGGACAGUCUAUAGCAAUCUGUAUGUUUCGUAUACCUCUGGUACUUCAAAAAUUCUGAACAAUUACGAAAGUCUGAAGAAUUUGCGUAUCAAUCAGCAGAAAAAAGAAUCAACUCAAAAUCUUACGUAUGCCGGUAGAUACGCAAAUUCUUUGCGUAUCAAUCAGCAGAAAAAAGAAUCAACUCAAAAUCUCUUACAGAAGAAAAAUGAAAAUUCUUUUCGUGAGAAGAAAGUUUCUGUCUUUCCCAGCAUGACCAAACGAUCAUCCCCAAGACUAAUCAUAACGGUUUUGCUUGGCACAAACGCAAAAAGAAACUAAAAAAAACACAAUCAUAACAGAAUUAUGAAAGUGUGGGAAACACAAAACUGAAAUAAAAAUGAUAGAUUCGUUGGGUUACCUCCCAACAAGCGCUUUUGUUUAACGCCCUUAGCUAGGCAUUCAAUGAUGCUCUCACAAAAGACAAGAAUUGAAGCAUAACGAGAGCAUCCUAAAGCAUGUGAAAAUCACAUCUAAGUCUAACAUACUUCCUAUGCAUAGGAAUUUUAUAGGAAAACAAAUUGUCAAGACAACCAAUAGUUUCCAUAUGCAAGGAAGAAGAAAGAGACAAGAGCAAUCUCAACAUCACGAGAGGUGAAUUGGUAACAUGAAAGUUUCUACCAAAAUAUUUUCCUCUCUCACAGCAAUUACAUGUGAGAUCAUAUUCAAAUUCAACAAUAUAGCUAUCCCAUAGGAUAUUCUUUUCAUGAUCGACAUGCAUGCAAAGUUGACGCUNNNNNNNNNNNNNNNNNNNNNNNNNNNNNNNNNNNNNNNNNNNNNNNNNNNNNNNNNNNNNNNNNNNNNNNNNNNNNNNNNNNNNNNNNNNNNNNNNNNNAAAGUUUCGAAAAGUUUCAAAUUUCACACAAGUUUCAAUCACUCAGGCAAACAAACAAACAAUCGAUCUAAUAAUUAUAUUAACAUUCCAAAAUUUAUAAUUUUGGGAUGUUACAAACUACCACACUUAAAAUGAAUCUCGUCCUCGAGAUUUGAAGAGGCUAGAAAGAAAGGUUAGGGUUUGGGGGUCUUCUAACAAAUCCAAUCUCCGGCAGGGUGGGAUGCUACCACACUUCAAAUGAGAGAUACUAGUCCCUCAAAAUGCUUUAACGAUCCUCUAGGGUUUUGGCAACUGACAUCGCACAGUUUUCAUAUUAAAUCCUUUGGUGAUGCUCUCUCGUUGAUAUAAGCUUCUUCCGUCACCGGGUCUUCUUAACUGACAGUCUCGUGGUCAAUUCUAAAUAACAUAUCGAUGGUUCUCAUGGUGGUCUACCAUUUGUGGUUAUCCUGCAGAGAGAGGGGUAUUGGUUUCAUCCUCACCGUAAAAUUUCCUACGCGUGACAACAGGUGCCAUGUACAUGGGCUUUCAUCCUACCAUUCUAAGGCUUAAACAAAAGCUUCAAAGAACGUCGUCUCUCACUAUGGGUAAGUCUCUCAGAUUUACCAUUCCGAAUAGCAAGAGAAUGAUAAUAGUAAGUCGUCAUGGUGGCCAAGCCAUGUCGCACUGAAAUCAUUACCUUGUAUAAGGCUUAGUGAAUCUCGUAUUCUAACACUUGGGCAUCCUCACAAGCGUUGCAGAAUUUCUCUUGUCCACGAACGAAGUUCGGAUAAUCCAUUGGUUCUGCAAGCUGAACGAAACAUCUAUCGUACCUUCACAACUCUCAGGUUUUUCGUAUGCUCCUAAGAAAACGUUUGCUGAUCCAUCAUAACUUCUUCCAUAAAUCAUAUGCAUUUCAUAAUCAAUCCUUUAUUACAUCCUUAAUUUAUCCUCAAAAACUCCAAUUCAAAAGUACUUUAUUACAAAUGCUGCCAUCCACAUUGUUCGGUAUGGUCGAGCAUUUGUGCCAACUUUAUUCAUCUGCCUCUCUUGGAGGUACUUUAGUUCCACUCGAAUUUUCCGAUGUGCUCUUUGAAAUCAUCCAUCUUUUGCUUCACCAUGGUGGCCAUUAGCUUCAUCUCCAUCAUCUCAGCAUGUACUUCACUCAGGUAUUCCUGGGUAUGACGGAGUCUUGCUUCAAGUAUUUCUCCGAUCUGACGUAUGGCUUCCAUGGCAGCUUCACGAACAGCAUCAAAGAAGGUUGCUCGUGGUACACGUGAAAUGAAAAAGUAUUGCCCCAUAGUCUUUGGACAAACUCCUUUCACAUGGUGGAGGUGUACUUCCACGUACCAAAGUUCCACUCCAUUUUCCAUGAAUGGGUAGCCUUUGUAGACUGCAUCUCCUUCAAGAUGAAUGUGCUUCAUCAUGUCCUUCAGGAUUUUCAGGUAAUCAUGAUCACUGGUCAGGGUCAUGAUCGUUUCUGGGCCCUUGAGGAAUGACUCAUAGAGAGUUGUCAUCUGCAGGUGUCAGUAAAUAGGUACUCAGAGGAAUGUAUAUGUCUCCUUGGUAAUCAUGGUACACUCCUACUCAAUGGAUCCUAUGGGUUUACCGAUUACUACCACACUUAAAUGAAUUAUACUCAUGCCUGCAUAGACCAUAUUUUCUCAUAUCCUCAUAAUUGUUCACAGAUCUUUGUUCGAAGAGAAACAACGCAUACAUUUUCAACAUAGGCAAUCAUGAGACAAUAAAUUCCAUUUAUUCAUGAUGUUAUUACAAUCUCAGGGACUUUUGUUACAAAAAUUUCACUCCAUGGUCUCAUGAAAAACAAGAGUGCUUCAGGUUACACUUAUUGCCACGGUCAAAACUUAACUACUCCAUUCUAGCUUUCUUCCUUCGUGGACAAUCGCUGGCAAAAUGUCCUGCUUCCUUGCAACAAAAACAAAUGAUUUCUGACAAGUCUCGAGGCUUCUUAGCUUCUGCUUUUGCUCCUUGGAUUCCCGGCUUCCUUCCUGAGCACAUGUAUUUGUGGUGGCCAAAUUUCAUACACUUGUAACAUCUGACAUGACUCAGGUCUAUGUCUGCAGAGAUUUGGUUCUUCCGAGGGUUCUCUUUCUUCUUUCCGGACUCCUUUAUUUUGGUCAGUUCUUCUAUUUCAAGUGGAUCAAACUCCACUUCUUCCGUCGGGAAGUUUCCCAGAUACUCUUGGCUUCUCUUCGUGCAAUCCUGUGAAUAAUGUCCUUCUUCUCCACAUGAGUAGCAUGCAUUGGAGAAAAAUCUGGUCAGACCUUGUCCAUCAGGGUCUUCAAUAUUUUCGUUCAUCACCGGUUCUUCUAGAAUCUUCUUCUUGAGGGUUUCCUUCAUUGCAUCUUUCUACUGCUUGACAACUUGUUGCACCUUGGGGUAAAUGUGACACUGAGCUGGGUAGUGGGUGGUUCCUUCACAAAGGAAACAAGUCACCUGACUACUUGUGCACUCCUCAGCUGGGUGGUUUUCUUCACAAUGAGUGCAUCCAUCCGUGUGUUCUUCCUGGGUGUGUCCUAUUUCUCCACAGAUCUUGCAUGCACAAGUCUUCUUCUUCGGGUUAUCAUAGCACUUCUGAAUAAGACGGGAUCUUAACAAAGUCUUCUUGAAUUCUUCCCAACUUUCUGCUCCACUAAAUCCUUGUAUGGCAUGGUGCAUUUUCCACCAGAUUGCAGCACUUUGCGUAAAGUACUGAAGAGCGUGUUCCACUUCAUGCUUCCUUGAGAUCAAGUUACUCCCGAAGUGGUUCUCCAUGUUCUGAAUCCAUAUCUCAGCUUCCAGCUGGGUCAUUGGUCCAAAGACUACAAGUCCAGCUUCAUACUCCAUCUGGUAGGGUUGAGGUUUUGGGGAUGAGACGGGUAAGAGAGAGGGAGAUACACACAAUACAAACAAUAUUUUUGAGAAUAGGUUUUAUUUGUGGCCGUCGGAAAACACACACCAAUGACGGCUCACAAUUCAUCGUAUCUAACGUGGUAUAUAACAGGGGUUUGGACUUCUAAUGGUCAUAUAAUUAUUCGAACACUUCAGGGUCUUUGAGUUCUUUGGGUCUUGAGAGUCCUCUGUUGGUGUAGCGUCAAUUCUUCAAACGCGUGGUGAAAUCCUCUUUACUUUGAAGUAGAACUCCGUUGAUUCUUCAUGAGGUCGAAGGGGUAAGGGUAUUGUCUAACUAUUGGAGGUGAGAGAGAACAUUUGAUGAACUCAGAAGAGAUGAGAAGUAACAGGUGUUCUCGAAAAUAAGAUUUUUGAGAGAUCCUAUCCUAAGAAAUUCCAUUUUCUAGGGUCACGUCCUACAGUCAACAUGUGCUCUGAUACCAUUUCUGUAGCGACCCGACUCAAAACGAGUCAAUCCUCUGUGUUUCUGUGCCAUCCCUGGAUCAGUAUGCUGACACACACAGUACAUCAAUGUAUAUAUCAAAGUGCAAUCACAUGUAAAUAGCGUAAAACUGAUAUAUACCUUAAUUAUCUCAGCGGAAGCGGUCAAGGGAGUGGAGUCCCAAUAAACACCAACGGCAAGUUGAGUGUAGACCGUAACCCUGAAAUCGUACUCUUACUCGUCGAAGAAAAAUAUCUGCAACAUAAGAUGUUGCAGCCAUGUAGGUCAGCAUAUUGAAUAUGCCGGCAAGUCACAUAAGAGAGGGGUGAAAAGUAAUCAUCUAUACUAUAUGCAUAUAUGGCAGGUGGGGCUAUAAGUUUUAGCGUAAAGCAAAUUUUUCUCCUACAACAAGAGUGGUCUAAAAGCAAAAUGUUACUACAUUGUUGGUUGUUAACGAGAUGGUUCCGCCAACCAGUUCUCGUACAUGAAUUGUCAAUAAUUCCCACAUCAAAUAUAUUUAAUGGUGUUGAGAAANNNNNNNNNNNNNNNNNNNNNNNNNNNNNNNNNNNNNNNNNNNNNNNNNNNNNNNNNNNNNNNNNNNNNNNNNNNNNNNNNNNNNNNNNNNNNNNNNNNNCAAAGUAACAAAGCAAAGUAAAAGCGGAGAUGUAAACGAUGGAUGCGAAUAGACCCGGGGGCCAUAGUGUUUACUAGUGGCUUCUCUCAUGAAAGCAAGUAGACGGUGGGUGAACAAAUUACUGUCGAGCAAUUGAUAGAACUGUGCAGAGUCGUGACGAUAUCUAUGCAAUGAUUAUUUCUAUAGGCAUCAUGUCCGAAACAAGUAGACCAAUACUCUCUGCAUCUACUACUAUUACUCCACACAUCGACCGCUAUCCAGCAUGCAUCUAGUGUAUUAAGUCCAUAAGAACAGCGUAACGUCUUAAGCAAGAUGACAUGAUGUAGAGGGAUAAUCUCAAACUAAUGAUAAAAACCCAUCUUUUUACCCUUGAUGGCAACUGCUUGAUGUGUGCCUGUCUUUUUACCCUUGAUGGAAACUACUUGAUGUGUGCCUUGCUGCCCCUACUGUCACUGGGAAAGUUCACCACAUGGCAGAACCCAAAACCAAGCACUUCUCCCAUUGCAAGAAUCAUAGAUCUAGUUGGCCAAACAAAACCCAAGACUCGGAGAGACUUACAAGGAUAUCAAAUCAUGCAUAUAAGAAAUCAGCAAAGACUCAAAUAUAUAUCAUAGAUAAUCUGAUCACAAGUCCAUAAUUCAUCGGAUCUCGACAAACACACCGCCAAAGAUGAUUACAUCAGAUAGAUCUCCAUGAAUAUCAUGGAGAACUUUGUAUUGAAGAUCCAAGAGAGAGAAGAAGCCAUCUAGCUACUAACUACGGACCCGUAGGUCUGAAGUGAACUACUCACGAGUCAUUGGAGGGGCGAUGAUGAUGAAGAAGAAGCCCUCCUACUCCAAAGUCCAUUCUGGCAGGGCGCCGGNNNNNNNNNNNNNNNNNNNNNNNNNNNNNNNNNNNNNNNNNNNNNNNNNNNNNNNNNNNNNNNNNNNNNNNNNNNNNNNNNNNNNNNNNNNNNNNNNNNNAUCGCAACGUAACUGGGUGACUAUAAAGAUGCUCUACAGGUAUCUCCGAAGGUGUUAGUUGAGUUAGUAUGGAUCAAGACUGGGAUUUGUCACUCCGUGUGACGGAGAGGUAUCUCGGGGCCCACUCGGCAAUACAACAUCACACACAAGCCUUGCAAGCAAUGUGACUUAGUGUAAGUUGCGGGAUCUUGUAUUACGGAACGAGUAAAGAGACUUGCCGGUAAACGAGAUUGAAAUAGGUAUACGGAUACUGACGAUCGAAUCUCGGGCAAGUAACAUACCGAAGGACAAAGGGAAUGACAUACGGGAUUAUAUGAAUCCUUGGCACCGAGGUUCAAACGAUAAGAUCUUCGUAGAAUAUGUAGGAUCCAAUAUGGGCAUCCAGGUCCCGCUAUUGGAUAUUGACCGAGGAGUCUCUCGGGUCAUGUCUACAUAGUUCUCGAACCCGCAGGGUCUGCACACUUAAGGUUCGACGUUGUUUUAUGCGUAUUUGAGUUAUAUGGUUGGUUAACGAAUGUUGUUCGGAGUCCCGGAUGAGAUCACGGACGUCACGAGGGUUUCCGGAAUAGUCUGGAAACGAAGAUUGAUAUAUAGGAUGACCUCAUUUGAUUACCGGAAGGUUUUCGGAGAUACCGGGAAUGUACCGGGAAUGACGAAUGGGUUCCGGGAGUUCACCGGGGGGGGGGCAACCCACCCCGGGGAAGCCCAUAGGCCAUAAGGGUGGCGCACCAGCCCUUAGUGGGCUGGUGGGACAGCCCAAAAGGGCCCUAUGCGCCAUACAAAGGAAAAUCAAAGAGAAAGAAAAAAAAGGGAGGUGGGAAGGAAGGGAAGGACUCCCACCCACCAAACCAAGUCCAACUUGGUUUGGGGGGGGAGCCUUCCCCCCUUGGACUCGGCCGACCCCCUUGGGGCUCCUUGAGCCCCAAGGCAAGGUCCCCUCCCUCCCACCUAUAUAUACGGAGGUAUUGGGGCUGAUUUGAGAGGACUUUUCCACGGCAGCCCGACCACAUACCUCCACGGUUUUUCCUCUAGAUCGCGUUUCUGCGGAGCUCGGGCGGAGCCCUGCUGAGACAAGGUCAUCACCAACCUCCGGAGCGCCGUCACGCUGCCGGAGAACUCUUCUACCUAUCUGUCUCUCUUGCUGGAUCAAGAAGGCCGACAUCAUCGUCGAGCUGUACGUGUGCUGAACGCGGAGGUGCCGUCCGUUCGGUACUAGAUCGUGGGACUGAUCGCGGGAUUGUUCGCGGGGCGGAUCGAGGGACGUGAGGACGUUCCACUACAUCAACCGCGUUCACUAACGCUUCUGCUGUACGAUCAACAAGGGUACGUUGAUCACUCAUCCCCUCUCGUAGAUGGACAUCACCAUGAUAGGUCUUCGUGCGCGUAGGAAAAUUUUUGUUUCCCAUGCGACGUUCCCCAACACCAAUGACUCGUGAGUAGUUCACUUCAGACCUACGAGUCCGUAGUUAGUAGCUAGAUGGCGUCUUCUCUCUCUUGGAUCUUCAAUACAAAGUUCUCCAUGAUCUUCAUGGAGAUCUAUCCGAUGUAAUCUUCUUUGGCGGUGUGUUUGUCGAGAUCCGAUGAAUUGUGGACUUGUGAUCAGAUUAUCUAUGAUAUAUAUUUGAGUCUUUGCUGAUUUCUUAUAUGCAUGAUUUGAUAUCCUUGUAAGUCUCUCUGAGUCUUGGGUUUUGUUUGGCCAACUAGAUCUAUGAUUCUUGCAAUGGGAGAAGUGCUUGGUUUUGGGUUUUGCCAUGUGGUCACCUUUCCCAGUGAUAGUAGGGGCAGCAAGGCACACAUCAAGUAGUUGCCAUCAAGGGUAAAAAGAUGGGGGUUUUAUCAUUGGUUUGAGAUUAUCCCUCUACAUCAUGUCAUCUUGCUUAAGGCGUUACUCUGUUCUUAUGGACUUAAUACACUAGAUGCAUGCUGGAUAGCGGUCGACGUGUGGAUUAAUAGUAGUAGAUGUAGAAAGUAUCGGUCUACUUGUUUCGGACGUGAUGCCUAUGGAAAUAAUCAUUGCAUAGAUAUCGUCACGACUCUGCACAGUUCUAUCAAUUGCUUGACAGUAAUUUGUUCACCCACCGUCUACUUGCUUUCAUGAGAGAAGCCACUAGUAAACAUUACGGCCCCGGGUCUAUUCACAUCCAUCGUUUACAUCUCCGCUUUUACUUUGCUUUGUUACUUUGUUGCUUUCAGUUCUCACUUGGCAAACAUUCUAUAAGGGAUUGACAACCCCUUCAUAGCGUUGGGUGCAAGCUUUUGUGUUUGUGCUGGAUCUUGAGAUACUCUUCCGCCGGAUUCAUACCUUGGUUCUCAAACUGAGGGAAAUACUUACCGUCGCUGUGCUACAUCACCCUUUCCGCUUCGAGGGAACACCAACGCAAGGCUCCAAGGCCACGGGGGAAAUCCUUUGCAUACUUGCCUAGGAAGUCCCUUAAGGCGUAGCCACAGCUGAAGGAUUCCUGGUGCCGUUGCUGAGGAGUAUCAAGCAACACUCCUAUUUCUGGCGCCAUUGGAAGGUCUUUUGUUGCAGUAUGAGAAGAAUUUCUGGCGCCGUUGCCGGGGAAGAGAAAUCAAGAUCUAUCCNNNNNNNNNNNNNNNNNNNNNNNNNNNNNNNNNNNNNNNNNNNNNNNNNNNNNNNNNNNNNNNNNNNNNNNNNNNNNNNNNNNNNNNNNNNNNNNNNNNNUAUAGCAUGGAUAAUAAACGAUUAUCUUGAUACAGGAAUUAUAAUAAUAACUAUAUUUAUUAUUGCCUCUAGGGCAUAAUUCCAACAAUUGGAGGGGCGAUGAUGAUGAUGAAGAAGCCCUCCAACUCCAAAGUCCCCUCCGGCAGGGCGCCAGGAAGGGUCUUCAGAUGAGAUCUCGUGGAAACGGAAGCUUGCGGCGGCGGAAAAGUAUUUUCGAGGCUCCCCUGAUUUUUUGCGGAAUAUUUGGGAAUAUAUAGGCGGAAGACCUAGGUCAGGGGGCGGCCAGGGAGGCCACAAGCCUGCCCACCGCCGCCUCCCCCCUGGUGGCAGAGUGGGGGCUUGUGGGCUCCCUGGAGCCCACCUGGCUUGGCCCAAAAGCCCCCUGGACUUCUUCCGUUCGGGAAAAAAUCAUUUCGGGGUUUUUCUUCCAUUUGGACUCCGUUCCAAAAUCAGAUCUGAAAAGAGUCAAAAACACGGAAAAAACAUGAUCUGGCACUUGGCACAGAAUUAAAAAGUUAGUCCCAAAAAGAUAUAAAAAGGUCGUAAAACAUACAAAGAAGACAAGAUAACAGCGUGAAACCAUCAAAAAUUAUAGAUACGUUUGAGACGUAUCAAUACCUCCCUUCUUAGGUACGCAAUGCACUGGACUUACCCAAUCACUAUGAGCAACAUGAUAAAUGAUUCAUGCUUCCAGAAGCUUUAAUAUUUCUUUUCUAAUGACCUCUUUCAUCUUAGGAUUCAAUCUCCUUUGAUGAUCAGCAACUGGUUUAGAAUCAGGAUCGGUUUUAAUCUUGUGCUGACAUAGAGUGGGACUAAUACCCUUAAGAUCAUCGAGAGUAUAUCCAAUAGCAGCACGAUGCUUCCUCGGAGUUUUUAGUAACUUCUUCUCUUCAUGCUCUGAGAGGAGAGCACUAAUAAUAACGGGAUAUAUCUCCUUCUCAUCAAGAUAGGCAUACUUUAGAGUAUCAGGCAACUUUUUAAGAUCGAACACAGGAUCACCCUUCGGUGGGGGAAGAUCCCCAAGCAGUUCAACAGGGAGAUUAUUCUUGAGAAUAGGAUAUUGUUCUAAGACAAUUUUAUCUAUCUCAUCUAUUUCAUCCAUAUGCAUAUCAUUUUCAUGCUCAAGCAGAUAUUGCUCUAAAGGAUCCGUAGGAGGUACGACAAUAGAGGCAAGAGCAAUGAUUUCAUCCCUACCAGACGAAUCUUUUUCAUGGGGUUGUCUUCCAAACUUUGAGAAGUUAAAUUCAUGAGACACACCCUCGAAACUAACGGUGACAGUCUGCUUAAUGCAAUCAAUGUGAGCAUUGAAAGUGUUGAGAAAGGGUCUACCGAAUAUGAUGGGACAAAAGCUAUCUUGUGUAGUACCAAGGACGAGGAAAUCAGUAGGAUACUUCAUCUUACCACACAGGACUUCUACGUCUCUCACAAUUCCCAGAGGGCAGAUAGUGUCUCUAUUAGCUAGCGUAAUAGUGACAUCAAUGGGUUCUAACUUAGCAGGUGCAAUCUCAUCUUUGAUUUCAUCAUAUAGGGAACGGGGUAUUGCACUAACACUAGCACCCAUAUCACAUAAACCAUGGUAAUAGUGAUCUCCUAUCUUGACAGAAACAACGGGCAGGCCAACUACAGGUCCAUAUUUGUCUUUCACGUGAGGUUUAGCAAUUCUAGCAGAGUCCUCACACAAUUUGAUAACAUGCCCGUCUACGUCUUCGGCUAAGAGAUCUUUGAUAAUAGCAACACUAGGUUCAACUCUAAUCUCCUCAGGGGGUGCAAGUGGUCUAAUGUAACCCCUACGUAUCACAGUUGGAGCUUUAGAAUAAUCCUUUAUCCUAGCAGGGUAUGGUGGUUUCUCAGCGUAGGCACAAGGAACAAUAGGAUCACUAAAAGCAAUGACUUUCUCCUCAACUAGAUUGGUUUUGACUAUGUUGCUUUCUACAAGAGGAUGAUACUUAAACCACUUCUAUUUGGGAAGAUCAACAUGAGCAGCAAAAGAUUCACAUAGAGAAGCUACUAUCUCAGAGUCAAGUCCAUACUUAGCGCUAAAAUCUCUAUAAGUGUUUGUCUCAACAAAAGAUUUAACGCAAUCAAACUAGAAAUUCAUACCUGACUCCUUACCUUCCUCCAGCUCCCAAUCUUCAAAAUUGCGUUUGAUUCUUUCCAAUAAAUUCCACUUGUGAUCAAUAUCCUUCUUCAUAAAAGAACCGGUACAAGAAGUGUCAAGCCUGGUACGAUCUUCAUGAGAAAGCCGAGCAUAAAAGUUUUGAGUGAUAAUUUCUCUCGAGAGAUCAUGAUUGGGGCAUGAAUAUAGCAUUGAUUUAAGCCUCCCCCAAUCUUGAGCUAUGCUUUCCCUGUCACGAGGCCAAAAGUUAUAAAUAUAAUUCCGAUCACGAUGUACUAAAUGCAUAGGAUAGAACUUUUGAUGAAAUUCCAAUUUCAACCGAUUGUAGUCCCAUGACCCAGUAUCAUCACAUAGCCUAUACCAUGUCAACGCCUUAUCCUUCAAAGAUAAAAGAAAGAGUUUCUUCAUUACCUCAUCCUCGGGAAAACCUGCAAGCUUAAAUAAACCACAAACUUCAUCUACGUAGAUCAGAUGCAAGUCUGGAUGUGAAGAUCCAUCUCCUGUAAAAGGAUUAGCCAGCGGUUUCUCAAGCAUACCCGAAGGAAUUUCAUAAAAGAUAUUUUCAGUAGGUACCUCAGGUUGAGGAACAACUCCUCGUGCUUCCGUUCGUGGUUAUGAUACCCCGAACAAACUCCUCAAAGGAACAGUUUCCAUAGUGACAAGUGACAAUAAUUUUCAGCACAGUAUAUAAAUGUUACCUUACCAAUUUCCACUUACCAAAGGCGCUUCACUCCCCGACAACGGCGCCAGAAAAGAGUCUUGAUGACCCACAAGUAUAGGGGAUCAAUCAUAGUCCUUUCGAUAAGUAAGAGUGUCGAACCCAACGAGGAGCAGAAGGCUCUGAUAAACGGUUUUCAGCAAGGUAAUAACUGCAAGCAGUGAAAGUAGCGGUAACAAGUAAUGGUGUAGCGAAGUGAAACGUAACAAGUGAAAAGUAACAAGUAGCAAGUAGUAGCAAUUGUGCAGCAAGUGGCCCAAUCCAUUUUGUAGAAAGGGACAAGCCUGAACAAAGUCUUAUAGGAGGAAAAACGCUCCCGAGGACACACGGGAAUUUCUGUCAUGCUAGUUUCAUCAUGUUCAUGUGAUUCCCGUUCGUUACUUUGAUAGUUUGAUAUGUGGGUGGACCGGCGCUUGGGUACUGCCCUUACUUGGACAAGCAUCCCACUUAUGAUUAACCCCUCUCGCAAGCAUCCGCAACUAUGAAAGAAGAAUUAAGACCACGUCUAACCAUAGCAUUAAACUAGUGGAUCCAAAUCAGCCCCUUACGAAGCAACGCAUAGACUGGGGUUUAAGCUUCUGUCACUCCAGCAACCCAUCAUCUACUUCCUCCUCCCCAAUGCCUUCCUCUAGGCCCAAAUAUGGUGAAGUGUUAUGUAGUCGACGUUCACAUAACACCACUAGAGGAAAAUACAACAUAAAACAUAUCAAAAUACCGAACGAAUAUCAAAUUCACAUGACUAUUAUCAGCAUGACUUAUCCCAUGUCCUCGGGAAAAAAAGUAACUACUCACAAAGCAUAAUCAUAAUCAUGAUCAGAGGUGUAAUGAAUAGCAUCAAGGAUCUGAAUAUAAACUCUUCCACCAAGUAAUCCAACUAGCAUCAACUACAAAGAGUAAUCAACACUACUAGGAACCUUACAAGUACCAAUCGGAGUCGCUAGACGAAGAUUGGUUACAAGAGAUGAACUAGGGAUUGGAGAGGAGAUGGUGCUGAUGAAGAUGUUGAUGAAAAUGCCUCCCCUCCGACGAGAGGAGUGUUGGUGAUGACGAUGGCGACGAUUUCCCCCUCCGGGAGGGAAAUUUCCCCGGCAGGAUCGUCCUGCCGGAGCUCUAGAUUGGAUCUCCUCAAGUUCCGCCUCGUGGCGGCGGCGAAACCACGAAAAAGCUCCCUAUUGAUUUUUUCUGGAACGAAACCCUUCAUAUAGCAAAAUAGGGGGGCCAGUGGGCCGUUAGGGAGCCCACAAGCCCUGUAGCCGCCAUCAGGGGGGUGGAGGCUACCAGGCUUGUGGCGCCUUGGUAGCUCCCCUCUGGUACUUCUUUCGCCUAGUAUUUUUAUAUAAUCCCAAAAAAUUCCAUGUAAAUUUUCAGGGCAUUUGGAGUUGUGCAGAAUAGUGGACUAAGAUUUGCUACUUUUCUAGUCGAGAAUUCCAGCUGCCUGAAUUCUCCCUCUUCAAAUAAACCUUGCAAAAUAAGAGAGAAAAGGCAUAAAUAUGGUACCACAAAGUAAUAUAACAGCCCAUAAAGCAAUAAAUAUCAACAUGAAAGCAUGAUGCAAAAUGGACGUAUCAUCGUCGUGCCGGGGAAACUUCCCUCCCAGAGGGGGAAACUGUCGCCAUCGUCAUCACCAAGACUCCUCUCAUCGGAGGGGAAUCAUCACCAUCAAUAUCUUCAUCAGCACCAUCUCAUCUCCAAAUCCUAGUUCAUCUCUUGUAAUCAAUCUCCGUCUCGUGACUCCGAUUGGUACCUGUAAGGUUGCUAGUAUUGUUAAUUACUCUUUGUACUUGAUGCUAGUUAGAUUACUUGGUGGAAGAUUAUAUGUUCAGAUCGUUGAUGCUACUUGAUACGUCCAUUUUGCAUCAUGCUUUCAUGUUGAUAUUUAUCACUUUAUGGACUAUUAUUAUACUUUAUGGAACCUUAAUUAUGCCUUUUCUCUCUUAUUUUGCAAGGUUUAUUUGAAGAGGGAGAAUAUCAGCAGCUGGAAUUCUGGACUGGAAAAGGAGCAAGUCUGAGUGCUCUAUUCUGCGCAACUCCAAAUGCCCUGAAAAUCAACGUGGAUUUUUUUCUGGAUUUUAUAAAAAAUACUGGGUGAAAGAAGUGUUAGAGGGGAGAAACCAGGGGCCCACAAGCCUGGUUGUCGCGGCCUACCCCCCUGGCCGCGGCAACAGGGCUUGUGGGCACCCUGGCGGCCCACUGGCCCCCCUCUUUUGCUAUAUGAAGGGUUUCGUUCAAGAAAAAAUCAAUCGGGAGCUUUUUCGUGGAUUCUCUGCCGCCACGAGGCGGAACUUGAGCAAAUCCAAUCUAGAGCUCCGGCACGACGAUCCUGCCGGGGAAACUUCCCUCCUGGAGGGGGAAAUCGUCGCCAUCGUCAUCACCAACACUCCUCUCGUCGGAGGGGAGGCAUCUCCAUCAACAUCUUCAUCAGCACCAUCUCCUCUCCAAUCCCUAGUUCAUCUCUUGUAACCAAUCUCCAUCUCGCGACUCCGAUUGGUACUUGUAAGGUUGUUAGUAGUGUUGAUUACUCUUUGUAGUUGAUGUUAGUUGGAUUACUUUAUGGAAGAGUUUAUGUUCAGAUCCUUGAUGCUAUUCAUUACACCUCUGAUCAUGAUUAUGAUUAUGCUUUGUGAGUGGUUACUUUUGUUCCUGAGGACAUGGGAUAAGUAAUGCUAAUAAUAGUCAUGUGAGUUUGGUAUUCGUUCGGUAUUUUGAUAUGUUGUAUGUUGUUUUUCCUCUAGUGGUGUUAUGUGAACAUCGACUACAUAACACUUCACCAUAUUUAUGUGAACAUCGACUACAUAAAACUUCACCAUAUUUGGGCCUAGAGGAAGGCAUUGGGGAGUAGUAAUUAGAUGAUGGGUUGUUGGAGUGACACAAGCUUAAACCCCAGUCUAUGUGUUGCUUCGUAAGGGAUUGAUUUGGAUCCACUAGUUUAAUGCUACGGUUAGACGUUGUCUUAGUUCUUCUUUCGUAGUUGCGGAUACUUGCGAGAGGGGUUAGUCAUAAGUGGGAUGCUUUUCCAAGUAAGGGCAGUACCCAAGCGCCGGUCCACCCAAUAUCAAACUAUCAAAGUAACGAAUGCGAAUCAUAUGAACAUGAUGAAACUAGCAUGACAGAAAUUCCCGUGUGUCCUCGGGAGCGUUUUUCCUCUUAUAAGACUUUGUUCAGGCUUGUCCCUUGCUGCAAAAGGGAUUGGGCCACUUGCUUCACCGUUGCUACUACUUGUUACGUGUUACUUUUUGCUUGCUACGUUUCACCUCACUACACCAUCACUUGUUACCGCUACUUUCAGUGCUUGCAGUUAUUACCUUGCUAAAAACCGUUUAUCAUAGCCUUCUCCUCCUCUUUGGGUUCGACACUCUUUGAUUAUCGAAAGGACUAUGAUUGAUCCCCUAUACUUGUGGGUCAUCAAGACUCUUUUCUGGCGCCGUUGCCGGGGAGGGAAGCGCCUUUGGUAAGUUAAGUUUGGUAAGGAAACAUUUAUAUACUGUGCUGAAAUUUAUUGUCACUUGUCACUAUGGAAACUGUUCCUUUGAGGAGUUUGUCCAGGGUAUCUUUACCACGAACGGAAGCACGAGGAGUUGUUCCUCAAUCUGAGGUACCUACUGAAAAUAUCUUUUAUGAAAUUCCUUCGGGUAUGGUUGAGAAACUCUUGGCUAAUCCUUUUAUAGGAAAUGGAUCAUCACAUCCAUACUUGCAUCUGAUCUAUUUAGAUGAAGUUUGUGGUUUAUUUAAGCUUGCAGGUUUGCCCGAGGAUGAGGUGAAGAAGAAAGUCUUUCCUUUAUCUUUGAAGGAUAAGGCGUUGACAUGGUAUAGGCUAUGUGAUGAUACUGGAUCAUGGGACUACAAUCGGUUGAAAUUGGAAUUUCAUCAAAAGUUUUAACCUAUGCAUUUAGUACAUCGUGAUCGGAAUUAUAUUUAUAACUUUUGGCCUCGUGACAGCGAAAGCAUAGCUGAAGCUUGGGGGAGGCUUAAAUCAAUGCUAUAUGCAUGCCCCAAUCAUGAGCUCUCGAGAGAAAUUAUCACUCAAAACUUUUAUGCUCGGCUUUCUGAUACGUCUCUAACGUAUCUAUAAUUUUUUAUGGUUUCACGCUGUUAUCUUGUCUUCUUUGUAUGUUUUAUGUACCUUUUUAUAUCUUUUUGGGGACUAACUUAUUGAUUCAGUGCCAAGUGCCAGUUCCUGUUUUUCCAUGUUUUUGACUCUUUUCAGAUCUGAUUUUGGAACGGAGUCCAAACGGAAUAAAAUCCCCGAAAUGAUUUUUUCCCGAACGAAAGAAGACCAGGGAGCCUUUGGGCCAAGCCAGGUGGGCCCCAGGGAGCCCACAAGCUUGCACCACGCCACCAGGGGGAGGCUGCGGUGGGCAAGCUUGUGGCUUCCCUGGCCGCCUCCUGACCUAGGUUUUGCGCCUAUAUUCCCAAAUAUUCCGCAAAAAAUCAGGGGAGCCUCGAAAAUACUUUUCCGCCGCCGCAAGCUUCCGUUUCCGCAAGAUCUCAUCUGGAGACCCUUCCCAGCGCCCUGCCGGAGGGGACUUUGGAGGUGGAGGACUUUUUCAUCAUCAUCAUCGCCCCUCCAAUGACUCGUGAGUAGUUCACUUCAGACCUACGGAUCCGUAGUUAGUAGCUAGAUGGCUUCUUCUCUCUCUUGGAUAUUCAAUACAAAGUUCUCCAUGAUCUUCAUGGAGAUCUAUCCGAUGUAAUCUUCUUUGAAGGUGUGUUUGUCGAGAUCCGAUGAAUUGUGGACUUGUGAUCAGAUUAUCUAUGAUAUAUACUUGAGUCUUUGCUGAUUUCUUAUAUGCAUGAUGUGAUAUCCUUGUAAGUCUCUCCGAGUCUUGGGUUUUUUUGGCCAACUAGAUCUAUGAUUCUUGCAAUGGGAGAAGUGCUUGGUUUUGGGUUCUGCCAUGUGGUGACCUUUCCCAGUGACACUAGGGGCAGCAAGGCACACAUCAAACAGUUGCCAUCAAUGGUAAAAAGAUGGGGUUUUUAUCAUUGGUUUGAGAUUAUCCCUCUACAUCAUGUCAUCUUGCUUAAGGCGUUACUCUGUUCUUAUGGACUCAAUACACUAAAUGCAUGUUGGAUAGCGGUCGACGUGUGGAGUAAUAGUAGUAGAUGCAGACAGUAUCGGUCUACUUGUUUCGGACAUGAUGGCUAUAGAAAUAAUAAUUGCAUAGAUAUCGGCACGACUCUGCACAGUUCUAUCAAUUGCUCGACAGUAAUUUGUUCACCCUCCGUCUACUUGCUUUAAUGAGAGAAGCCACUAGUAAACACUACGGCCCCCGGCUCUAUUCACAUCUAUCGUUUACACCUCCGCUUUUACGUUGCUUUGUUACUUUGUUGCUUUUAGUUCUCACUUGGCAAACAAUCUAUAAGGGAUUGACAACCCCUUCAUAGCGUUGGGUGCAAGCUUUUGUGUUUGUGCAGGAUCUUGAGAUACUCUUCCGCCGGAUUGAUACCUUGGUUCUCAAACUGAGGGAAAUACUUACCACCGCUAUGCUACAUCACCUUUCCGCUUCGAGGGAACACCAACGCAAGGCUCCAAGGCCACGGGGGAAAUCCUAUGCAUACUUUCCUAGGAAGUCUCUUAAGGCGUAGCCGCAGCUGAAGGAUUCCUGGUGCCGUUGUUGAGGAGUAUCAAGCAACACUCCUAUUUCUCGCGCCAUUGGAAGGUCUUUUGUUGCAGUAUGAGAAGAAUUUCUGGCGCCGUUGCCGGGGAAGAGAAAUCAAGAUCUAUCCAAGUAGGUCUCACAAACUCUUCUCUUGCAUUUACUUUUGUUGCCAGUUGCCUCUCGUUUUCCUCUCCCCCACUUCACAUUUGUCGUUUUCAUUUGCCUUUCUCCUUUGCCUUUUUCGUUCGCCCUUUUCUCUCGCUUGCUUUCUGUUCGCUUGUGUGCCAUGUGCCCUCAAUAUGCUUGCAUCUUCGCUUGCUGAAAAUCUAGUGAUAUGGAUCCUCAUCCACUUGCUAGUCUCUUUAAGAGACCCACUCGUGUGGAACAAAUUGCUAUUGAGUUGAGGGAAAUUGCCUAUUUCUUUGGAGUUUUGCGUAAGAUGCAUGAAUCUGAAAAUUGUGAGGAAGAAAUUCAUGAAGUGAUUCACGAGGGCUCCUUGGAUGAAAAGCAUGAAAGCAAUGGUUUCACUAUAAAUUCUAUUAGUGAUAAUCAUGCUAAAAAUAUGCAAAACCCUAAGCUUGGGGAUGCUAGUUUUGCUAUGACCACUACUUAUUGCAAUAAUCAUGAUUGGGGUGAUCAUCUUUCUUAUGAUCUUGAAAAUUUGUUCAAACCUCAUGAUGAAUAUGAUAUUUGCAACAAUACUGAAAGUGGGAUUGGAGAAGUCAUGACUUUAUUUGAUGAUAAUCCCACUAUUUUUGAAGAGCGUUAACUUUGCAUGNNNNNNNNNNNNNNNNNNNNNNNNNNNNNNNNNNNNNNNNNNNNNNNNNNNNNNNNNNNNNNNNNNNNNNNNNNNNNNNNNNNNNNNNNNNNNNNNNNNNCUAGAUACACGUGCCGGACUUAUAAACUGAAACGGAGGGAGUAGUAUCAUAGUCUUGAGACUAACAAACAUGCUGAUGUGGCAAGUAAUUAAAGAAAAGAGAGAGGGGGUUAUAGUAACAUACUAGUAGAUGCCGUAUCAUGUUAAAUGUUAUGCUACUAUGUGUCAUGCAUGUCAAUAAAUGAGAUCACCUAUGAUAC
rnacentral:lncRNA from 1 species